AAUAGAAUUGUAAAAAAUUAGCAUGAAUUUUACUUGUGGAGAGUUUUGGAUACAAGUUAUAUCUAUAGGGUUGGAGACCAACACAAAUUUUAGCAUUAGUUUAUAUAACAAAUUGUCGUUACAUUAAGGACCAAAUACAUAGUCAUUACAUUCAUAAGCUAACUGCAUUUUUAGCCAAAACUAACAAUAGUUUCCUUGAGAUUGGAAUUCUGUUGCUAUAAAUGUUGCAAGGAAGGGAAGAAUUAAAGAUUUGUAAAAUGUACUCCAAGUCAAACACGGGGUCAAUUAAUUUUUAAUAUAAAAUUUUUUUAACGAGGAUAAUGCUAACUUUUAUUCCAUUUUUAAAGUUAAUUAUGUUUUCAAUGUUGUACUGAUAUUACAGAAUAACACGGCUUAAGAACUCCUAAACAAUUGCCUUACGGCGGCGUUGUCGACGACAAAUAUGAACAUCAAGCACCAGAUCUUUUCUAUUGAUGAGCUUAAACAAACAAACAUCUCCGGCUUGUAAUUUACUAGCUCGAGCAAAAAAGUUCCAACCAGAAGAGAUAAAGGCAUCACAUGAUGAUGGCCUAUAGAUUAACAACUUCUUUCCAAACCUUAUAAUUGCAUUUUGGGGGUUAUUUUCAAAAUAUUUUCGGAAGAAUUUAGUUGGAAAGUACCGCAGCACAUCAUAUUUAUGUCAUCAUAGUUAGAAAUAAGACACAAAGUUUGGAAGAAUAAUAGCACAUGGAAGUUCACGAUAUAUAAUUUUCAACAUGGAUAUAUGUAUUAACCUAUACUUACACAUGGUGCUCUCGUUUGAGACAGUUGCGUUAUCUUGAUGAUGAAAGAGGGCUUUUCUCACUUAAACUUCUUAGCUUCUUUCAGAGAUUCAGGUCUUAUAGGACAGGGCCUAACAGGAGAUUCAGAAUCUUUUCUUCUUCUAUUCUUUUUACCUUGUACAUAGGAAACAAAGAAUCAGAAACUACCACUGUAAUGUACAAAAAACAGUUGCAAGUUGUAACUCAAAAACAACGGUUGAAUCCACAAAAGGAAAGGUUGAUCUAAUUAUGAAACACAUACCAUUAGAAUCUUUAUUGACAGACACUGGCAUCUCAUGGUUUUUUUCUUUAGAUUUAAUACCGUGCGAAUUGAGGCUUCUUUCCACAUCCCUGAUUUGUGUGUCAUUUUCCAACUAUCUACCUUUAGAAGCAGAUGACACUAGUGCUCUCAGUUUUUUCCUCGGUUGGCCCUGGACUUCUCUUGGCAAUGGUUCAUUCAAUCUUUUCUUCAGCAGUCCCUCGUUAAGUCUCAUGUUUUGGGUGUUGGGACUACUAUCCACAUCUCUAGUUUUUUGUUCUUCUGGCCUUUUCACCGGCUGCUGACUCCUGCGUGGCAGCUGCUCUUUGAUCUGAUCAUUGGCAAAUAUGUAUACUUCCAUGUGAGAAGUUCCAAUAUUAUACUCAAACCAUAACAAAUGGCGAUGAUCAAGAGAGUAAUAUGCAACAAACUCUUUCCAACCAUUUUUAAACAAAAUCCCACCAUCAUGAUUAAUCCACUCUACUAUCCAUUCAGUACCAUCCGGAGGCUUAAGAUACAAUAGGUUUAAUAGGACAGAACCAUAUUUUUCAGUACUUCUGCAAUAUUAUGAACCUGGUGUUAGCAACCAUAAUAACAAUAAGGUGACACACAUUAGUAUGUCUUCACCAAGAUGUUGACAUGUAUUAUGUUAAAUAGUUUAGACAAAUAUAUCAAACUAUUUAACGAUUUUCGGCUAUAUCUUUGUAUACUAAUAACAUUAAACUCCUAAUUCGUCCUUCACUAAUAAUUAUAAAUAGUGCAGUAAAAUAGUCCAAACAUAUUAGUCCUAAAUUUUGUAUGUAGAUAAAGAUUAAUCUUUCACCUAUUUUAAAGGAGAGACUAAUUUCAAAUUUUAAAGGGCUAUUUUGCAGCAUUGUUUGCAUAUUUAGAGACUAGGAGUGAAAUAAAAAAAUAUUAAAAAACAGGAUUGUCCAACAUGAAAAUUGGUAGGGACCAAAUCAGUAAUAACAAAAUUAAAACUCAUGCAUAACGAAAAAUGACGAUGAAUAUAAUAAUUUUUCAAAUCACCGCAAUAUGUCCUAUAAUAUUUCCUAAUCUUAAUUAGUGAAAGUUUUACCAGAUCAUUUUUCAUUAACAAUAAUGUAGAUUUAAUCGUAAUUAAUUUUGUAGUAAGAAUACAUACGGAGUACAUAAAAUGAUGUAACCACCUAACAAAUAUGUUUUUAGGUUUUCAUUCAUCUUAUGUAUUUUUUUAUUUUUUCAUGUACUUCUGCUACAAAAUUAAUUAUAAUUAAUCCUACAUUAUUGUAAAUAGAAAAUGAUCUAAAUAAUAAGAAGAAGAAGUUUACUAUUACUAUAUUUGCAGCUAAGAAGCCAUGCAUGUGUGUUGUUCUAUGAAGAAAAUGUUUAUAAAUGAGAAAAAUUAUAUAUAGAGGAAUAAAGAGAGAAACUUUUUGUUAAAUAAACAAUAUCUCAAAAGAUAAACAGAUUAAAAGAAAAAGAGGGGAUGGAGAAGACGAGAGAAAAUGCUCACAAAGUCAUCAUCUUGAAGAGCUUGUCUGAGAACAAUCUUAAAGAAAGAAAUCACAGUAGAAGUAGAAGGAGAAUACUUGUUUUGUUGACAGCUAGAGGAAGCCAUAGUAAACGGAUGAUGUAUGGAUUUGACUAUUGUUGAGGUUCAGAGUCUCUCUCACCCGGUAUUCCUUAAAUAAACUUAUUUUGGGAUAACAAUUAAAUUAAAAAAAAUAACAAGUGAGUACUAAAAUAAGUUAUAUAUAUAUUUUAAUUUAUUUUUAAUAUAAAUUUUAUAUUUUUAUAUGUAUUAUAUAUGUAUAAAUAAUUUUAAUAUAUAUUUAAUAUAAUUUAAUAAAUUAAAAGAAAAGUUAGGACCGAUUCCUUCAUAAUUGAUUGCAAAGUUAUACAGCGUUAAUUGAUAAUGGUGUUAUUAGAGAGACAAUAAAAAAAAUAGUCAAAAUUUAUUUUAUAAUUAUUUUUGUCUAUUUUUUUUUUUGCUAUCAAACAUUUUUGAAAUGAUAAUAUGAAAUGCCAUUAGACAAGCUAAAUAAAAGGAGAAGAUGCUCAUUGAAAAAAAUAAAAUAGAAGCAUAAUGAAAUAGCACGAUGAAUGUUAGUACAUAGAAUAAAAGGUAAAUACUAAGGAUCAAUUGAGUUAAGUUAGGCUUGAUUUGAUAAAAUUUUUAUUUUUUAAAAAUAAUUUAUAAAAAUUAGUUUUUAAAAUUAAUUUUAUUUUUGAAAAAUUUUACUAAACCAAAUCUUAGUACGUUUGAUAAUAGAUUAUUACUUACAAAGAUAUCGAAAAAGACAGACAAAGGUGUUAGAUAAUUAAAUCAAGAAUAUUUAAGAAAAAUAAAAAUACAACAUCUUAAAACAUUGAAAAAAUUCGAAUCAAAUUGAAUUGGAAUUGGAAACCAAAUUGUAUCUUAAAUUAGAAGGUGGUAGAAACGGAUAAAAAUUCAAGUUAUUUUUCUGGUGCAAGACAACACAAUAUUUAUGAAGAACGAAGAAUCAUGAUUGGAAGUUUCAAGUUGAUGACUAAAUUUGAAGGAUUUGAAGUAAAUUUGAAUAAAUAACUUGACUUGUAAAAGUUUUUAUUAACUUCAUGAAAUAUUACAAGUGUAUUUAGUUGUUAUAAAAAUUAUUAUUUUAUUAUGAAACUUUGCCUAUAUAAAGGCUUGAACACAUGUACUUUAAUCAUAUCUUCAUAUGAACGAAAAUGCAUUGAGUUGUUAAUGUUGGGUCGUCUGGUCCUAAAUUAAAUGAAAAACUUGAUUAUUAAGAGACUUUGAUGUCUAUCUAUUUGAAGGUUUAGAUCCUAUGGAACUUUAUUGAAUUGGAUUUGCAAGAAGGAGUUGAUGUUACCCAAUAGAGAAAAAAUCAAUUAGCAUGGUCUCAAAUUUACCAAAGUGUAUAUUAUACAAUGUUUUGCAAAAUAGCAAAUGCCAAAAGUGUAAAAGAAGCAUAAAACACGUUGAAACUGUCAUACAAAGACAUAGGUAAAGUCCAAAAAGCAAAGUUAUAAUUUUUGAGAAGAGAAUAUAAAAGAUAUGAGAUGUCUAACUCAGAAAUUGUUAAGCAAUAUUUUUCUUGUGUUACAAAUAGAUAAAAGUAUGAAAAAUAUUCCCAGUAGCAAAGUGGUGAAAAAAUCUUUUUGCAUUAUGCUGAUGAAGUAUGGUCAUAUGGCGACUACAAUAUUAAAGUCCCACAAUAUGGAUACUAUGACGAUUGCAGAGUUGUAAGGAACCAUGGAAAGUCAUAUUAGCAUAAUAUUAGAGAAGUUAGAAAAAUCAAUUGAAGAAGCCCUGAAAAGUCGAGUGAAUUUAAACAAUGGUGCAGAAUCAAGCUGUACACAAGAUGGACGAGACCGUACUUUCAAUUUUCAAAGUAAAGGUAGAGGAAGUUCCAGAGACAGAGGUCGUGGCAAUUAUAGCCAUGGAAGUUAUAAUAAUUUUACACCACCUAAUCAAGAAAGAGGUGGAAUAAAUUCCAGGUUUGUCAACUAAAGAAGAAAUCGAGACAAUUUUUAUCAAGAACGAACUAAUUUCUACUGCUUUCAUUGUGAAAAGUAUGGACACAAAGUGGUAGACUGCAAAAUCAAAAUAAUGAAUAAUAAUCAAGCACAUGUUGCAGAAAAUUAACAUCAAAAUACUGAUGAUAAUCCGAAUAUCAAACUUUAUUUUUUACAUGUAACUCAUAUGCUGAAGAUAAAAAUAUAUGAUACUUGGAUAAUGGUUGUAGUAAUCAUAUGUCUGGUAGAAAAAUUCCUAUUGAAGUUUGGUAAUAGUAGAAAGAUUCCUAUUGAAGAAAAAGAACAAAUACCAAUUAGAUUGAAUGAUUGUUCUCUGAGUUAUAUUUUUGAUAUUUUCUAUACUCCUAAACUUGAUUACAAUUUAUUGAGUACGAGGCAGUUAUUUGAGAACGGAUAUAAAAUAAUUACAUAUAGUGGAUAUUUGCAUUAUAUUUGACAACAACAAAAGGUUCAUAGAUAAAGCAAAGAUGACUUCAAAUAAAAUGUUUCCAUUGAAAAUUCAACAUGUUAAUCCUUCUUGCAUGAGUUCUGUAAUAAUUUAUGAUAGCUGAGUGUGGUAUAUUCAGUUUGUGCAUUUUUUUCUGACCUAAAUUACCUGUCAAGAAAAAGACUUAUUUCUGGUCUGCCACAGAUUCAUAUUCCUAAUUGUGUUUGUGAAAUUUGUCAACUGAAAAAGAAGCACAAAAAUCUAUUUACUACAGAAAAGUCAUGAAGAACUUGAAGAUUACUUGAAAUUGUGCAUUCAGAUCUUUGUUUUGUUAAGAUUCUAAGGUACUUUAUCACUUUUAUUAAUGAUUUUAGUAGAUAUAUACGGAUAUACUUUCUAUUGUUAUAAAGCAUACUCAUAUUUUAGUAUAUAGAAAGCAUACUCAUGUAUGUUGCAACAAUGAUUCAUAUUUUAGUAUAUAGCAGGUAUCCAAUGAAAGAUGUUCGUGAUAAAACUUCGAAGGAAGUUUGGAGUGAAAAGAGGUCUUUCAUUAAUCAUUUUCAGAGUCUUUCAGUAUAUUGCUUAUGCCCAUGUUCUAUAUCAAUCAAGAAAGAAGUUAGAUGACAAAGGCAAAACGUAUAUCUUUAAUGGCUAUAGCACAUACUCAAAAACAUACAAGUUGUAUAAUCUAGAAUCAAAGAAGGUGAUCAUCAGCAAAAAAUGUGACAUUUGACGAGAAAGAUAUUUGAGACUGGAACAGAACGACAGAAAAGUAGCCGAUUAUAAUUCCAAAUUCAUGUGAUGAAGUAGAAUAAAGACAACCUAACAUAACUAAACAACUAAAAUCAUCUAUAAGACCUCUAGAAAAUAUAGACUACCUGCUAGAUUGGCAGAUUAUGAAAUUGGCAGUGAUGAUGAUCCAUCCGAUGAAGAAAUUAUCAAUUUUGCUUUACUUUCAAAUUGUGAGCCAUUAAACUUUGAAGAAGUCUCUAGAGGCAACAAUUGAAAAAAAAUAAUAGAUGAAAAGAUUCAUGCCAUUGAAAAGAAUUUGGAGCUGAUAGAUUUACCAUUAGAUAAGAAGUCAAUUGGAGUAAAGUGGAUUUACAAAACUAAGUACAAUCCCAACGAUGAAAUUGAUCGUUUUAAAGCAAGAUUAGUUGCUAAGGGAUAUAAACAAAAAUCCAGUAUUUACUACUUUAAAGUAUUUGCUCCUGUUACUAGAUUAGACACUAUCCAUAUUAUUAGUUCGCUAUCGGCUUAAAAUAAAUUAAAAAUACAUCAAAUGUAUAUUAAGUCUGCAUUUUUAAAUUGCACUGAAGAAGAAGUGUAUGCUGAGCAACUUGCAGGAUAUGAAAUUCCUGAAGAAGAAGAAGAAGAAGAUAAAAUUUAUCGAUUGAAAAAAGUUUUGUAUAGGUUGAAGCAAGCACCAAGAGCGUGAUACAAGAAGAUUAUUUAUUCUUUUUUCACUCAGAAGAUGUCCAUUUGAACAUACUCUUUAUAUAAAGUUUGUUGAAUCUGGAUAAAUCUUAAUCGUGUGCCUUUAUAUUGAUGAUUUGAUCUUUACUCGCAAUAAUUUGAAGAUAAUUGCAGAAUUCAAAAAGACUAUGAUAAAACAAUUUGAAAUGACAAAUAUGUGCUUGAUGUCUUACUUCCUCGACAUCAAAAUCGUUUAGAAAGAUGACAGAAUCUUUAUUUCACAUCCAAUUUUUUCUUUCUAAUUCAAUAAAACAAACUUAAUUAUAUAGUUGCUAUUUUUUAAAAUAUAUUGACGUUCUUCUUCUUCUCUUGCUAUUAUAUCUUGUUAUUUUUCUUUUGUAGUGUAUUACUUAAUCAUGAUCAUAAUACAUGCAGCAGGUUUAAUUUGCAUGUUUGUUGAUUGGAUGUCACGGAAGCAAGUUUUGUCCUGAGCCUUCGUUUUUGGAGAAUCUGGGAAAAGUAAGACACAUGCUUUGGAACAAUAAUUUUGACCGAUAACUCCAAAGAUAAGAAAGAUAAAAAAAAUUAGCUUCUUAAGUUGUUUUGCUUUUAUGUAUUUUAUAAUUUUUGACCCUCUCCUUGCUUGUGAUGCUUUUAAGAAUUUAUAGAGCAUGAAAGAUAUUUGAUAUGAUUGUACUCCCAUAUCUUCUAAUUCAUUUCUUCAUUUAUUUAAAAACUUUUGAUAGAUUAAAAAGUGACCGUUGAUGCUUUAUACCUUCAUUUCUUCUUAGCUUCUUCUCUUGCUAUUAUAUCUUGUUAUUUUUCUUUUAUACAUGCAGCAGGUUUAAUUUGCAUGUUUGUUGAUUGGAUGUCACGGAAGCAAUUUUUGUCCUGAGCCUUCGUUUUUGGAGAAUCUGGGAAAAGUAAGACACAUGCAUUGGAGAAAUAAUUGAUCGAUAACUCCAAAGAUAAGAAAGAUAAAAUAAACGGUUUUGUUAUAUUACCAACAGCAUAUCUGCUAAUUUCUGCCAACUCUUAUUUAUAAUUGUGUUUUAUGGAAGUGUGUUCGUAGAUGUGUUUAAUAAAAAUAUCUUUUUUAUAGCAAUGUUUAAUAGAAAUAUUUUUAUAGAUAUAUUUUUUAGAUGUAUCUCUUUAUAUAUGUAUUUAAAAUAUAUUAAUUAUUAGCACAUCCACAAACACACUUCCAUGAAACACAAUUAUAAAUAAGAGUUGGCAGAAGUUGAUAGAUAAUAUGUUGGUACCUUAUACUUUUCCAUAAAAUAAAUAGGUACGUGGUCUUCAUGCACUAGUUUAUUAUGGUGUUGACUUGUUGUACAAUACCUAAUUAACUACACCAACACUGUAUGAAGAGAAUGGCAACAAUCUUUUCAAAUUUGUUUAUGUAAACUGCAAACACAUUAACGAUCAUUUUUAAAAUAUAAUUCCAAUAAAAUACAAUUAUAAAGAAGAUAUAUAAUAAUUAAAAUAAAUUUACCAAUUAAAUCCUAUAAUCUAAAUUUAAUUCAAUAAGUUGGUUAUUUACAUGAUAUUUUAGACAAUUAAAAAUAUUUUAAAUAUUUUCACGUAACAUUAUUUAAAUAUUGCAACUUAAUUAUUUGUAUUUUGUUGUAUAUAUUGUUAUUAAAUGCUUAUAAUUAAUUAUGAGAGCAUCUUCAAUAUUAGUUUUAAUUCCUCAUUUAAAUUUUUAAUGUAUUUAUUUUAUAGUUACUAAAUAAAAAUAUUUAAAUUUUUUCAUUAAUGACAAGCUUAUCAUGUAUUUUUAAGAUACAUAUUAGCAAAUUUUUUUUUUAAUAGGUGAACCGAUGAUUUCUUUUAAUGAAUAUUACAUGAUAAAAUGAAAAAAAAUUCAAAAAUUUAAAAUAUACCUAAUAUUGCAUACGUCUAUUUUACAUCAGUUUUUGAAGUGUCACUUCUCUUCUCGAGACUUUUUUUUUGUUUUUGUCUUAACUGUACUAUUCCUUUGCUUAGUAUUUUCUAAUUUUUGGCGCUUAUAUAUUUUUUAAUUGUUGGCCCUCCCCUUUACUUUUGAUGCUUCUUAAGAAUUUACAGAACAUAAAAAUAUUAGGAGUGGAUUCUCUUUAGUGAAAAAAAAAUUGGAUGAUAUCCCGUGAAAGAUCUCAUCUUUUAUUGCAUUCUCUCUCUCAUUUAUUUUUGGUCCCACUUGAAGAAUUAAAGGUGGGAGAUUACACUGUAUUCUCUCCAGUGACAAAAAAAUGGAGAGGAUCCAUUAACGAAGUGGGUGUUAAUGUGUUUUUUUUUUUUUCAAAAAUCAGAUAAUUUCAUUCAUAAAAUAAAAGAAAUAUAUAAAUGUCCAUACAUACAUAAGACAAAUAAAAGAAAUAGAGAACUUCCAACAUUUUACUAUAGAGAUAACAUGUAAUAAUUUAAUAAGAGAAAUAAAAAGUUAAAGUGUUUAUUAAUUAAGAAGUGGGAAUUUGUUGAAGUUCUUUCAACAGCUUCAAAAUCGAUAUUAUUAUCUCUUUCACACUGAAAUUGAUACAUUAUCAAAGAUGAAGCCGUUACUAACCUUCCACAACGACCAGCUUCGUUCGACGGAUAAUUUCAUUAUUGAUGUUCCGGAAUGGAUCCUCUCAAUUGUUGAAACAAAUUGAGGGAGUAAAGUGUGAUCUAUAACCCUUUAAUACAUACUUUCUCAUAUUUUUUUUUGGUUCUACUUAUAAUAAUUAAUGGUGAGAGAUCACACUUUAUUUUCUCAAUUGUUAAAAAAAAAUUGAGAAGAUCCAUUUACAUUGAUGUUCGGUGAAUGAUUCAAUGGUCUUGCAUCUUUUUUCACCAAAUUGGUGAAAGAUAACCAUUCUUUUACGCUGUUGCCUGUUGGGUACUUGGAUCUUGGGCUCAAUCCUGUUCGAAACCAUUAAGCCUUAUAAUAUCCCAUUUAUUGAAGUCCAAUUAUCCUGAUAGUUUUAAAAUAGCAUAAAAAUAUUUUUUGGGUUAAAAUAAACAUAUUGAAUUAGUGAAAUAUGAUGUAAAAUGUUAAAAUAAAUUAUUAUUUUGACCCGCAAAAAAUAAACCAAAAACAAAAGAAACAAUAUUUUUAUUUUUUAAAAUUAAUUUUAGUUUGACAAAAUAUACAUUUUGGGGAUAAAUAACAAAUAAUGCAUGUAUUUAAUUCAACUUUUUGUUGGGUCAUUUAAAAAGUUAUUUGGAAAGUAUAUAUAAAAAAAUUAAUAAAUUGAUUUUUUUUUACUAUUUUUUAAUUUUUUUUAAUAUUUUUUCAGUCAUGUAAAUGAUAUAAACAAAUAUUUAAAAUAAAAUGACCAAAUUAAAAAGAUAAUUUUUUAAUCUUUAAACAGAUUUACAAAAAAAUAUAUUGAUAUUUAUAAAUUAUGAGAUAUAUGACAUGUUUUAAAAAUUUGUCAAAUUAAAAUUAUAUUUUAAAAAUAAUUAUGAGAUACUUGAUAUGUUUUGAAUUUUAUCAAAAAUAUUUCUACAAUAAGAGAGUAUAGUGCCAAAAUAAUUAUUGUAUAAAGAUUCAUUAUGCUGCAAAACCUUUGUUAUUUCUUUGUUUAUUACUUUCAUUGAAUAAUAAUUUUGUGGAAUAAAUUUUUGAUAUCCUCGCUAUGCUUGUUUUUUAAGAAAAAAUUACUAUUUUUUCUAUGAAAAGAAUUCAUUUUUGAUAAAUAAUUUUUAAAAAAAGGAAUGACAAAAAAAAUAUAAUGCUAUUCUAAAAUUAUUAGUUUUUUUGGAUGAAAAAAUUUAUUAGGCUAAUUGGGCUUUAAUAAAUGGGCUAUUAUAAGGCUCAAUAGUUUUUAAAAAAGAACUGAACCAAAAAACCUAGCGGUGUAAGAGAAUAGUUAACUUUCACCAACGUUGGUGAAAAAAGAUGCCGGACCAUUGAAUCAUUCACCUUGAUGUUCUUCUUCUCUUGCUAUCAUAUCUUAUUAUUUUUCUCUAACAGUUUUUUUUUGGACAUUUUUUUCAACAGGUUUAAUUCGCAUGUUUGUUGAUUGGAUGUCAUAGAAGCAAUUUUGUUGAAGUCCAAUAAAAAAUAUUGAGCCUUCGUUUUUGGUCUUCAGGAAUAUUGGGCUAUAUUGGCCAGACUUCUUCUAUUUUUCUUUUAAUUUUUCUGUUUUGUUUUUUUGGUAUCGAUAGAACUGAAUGUUUUUUAUACAGAAUAAUAAGUGCAAACUAAACUAUCAACUACUCUCUUUUUUUUUUUUGGAAAAUAUUAUCUUGGAUCGGACAAAAUUUGGUGUUCACUCACACGAACAUUGAAAAAAUUUGAAAUUAAAUUUAAUUAAAAGUAAAAAUUAAAUUAGAUAGUAAAAACUACAAGAAUGUAAGUUAUUUUUUUAAUGCAAGAUAACAUAAUAUUUAUAAAAAAAUGAAGAAUUAUAAAUGAAUUGAAAGCUUCAAGUUGAUGACUAAACUUAAAAAAUUUAAAGCAAAUUUAAAUAAAGAAUUUAACUAGUCAAAAUUUUUACUAAAUUCAUGAAAUAUUACAAAAUUCAUAUGAAUGAAAAUAUAUUAAGUUAUUAGAACUUCUCUUAUCUUUUGUGAAUGUGUUAGUGAAUUUAAAAAAUAAAAAAUAUAAUAGUAUUAUUUAAAUAAAUGAAUAAUCUGAAAUUAAUAGUGUAGAUAUUAUACUUAAAAAAAUAGAUAUAAGAUAGAAUAUGUGUAAGUACAUUAUAAAUUUAUGGUUUAACUUUUAUUCUACUUUGUUUAUUGUUUUGUGUUUUGUGUUUUGUAUUUUAUUUUAUUUUUUAUAACAUAUUUCACUUAUAACUGUGUUAAAUCUUUACUUAAAAAAAAUAUGAGAGUAAUUAAUUACAUUUUAUCAUUAAUUAAUUGAUAAUAUGAGAUAUGUCAUUAACUAACCUUAUUUGGAAAAAAAAUUGAACUUUAAAUAGGAGGGUUUGAUCAUUAGAUAAAAUUAUAAAAUCAAUUUGAUUAUUUUCUCCAUUUAUAGACCAAAUUGAUUAUUAGAUAAAAGUUGGAAACUAAUUUAAUUAUUAUUCAAUUUAGUCACCAAUUUAAAAUAUUUUAUGUUAUUAAAUUUCAAUAUAUGUUUAAUAACUUACGAUUAGAAUAAUCAAAUUUUAACUGCUUUGUUAAAAUAUAAAUUGAUAUAUUCACUACAAGAAAUACUAUUAUAAUCGAGGGCCAAAUCGAUGACAAAAACAUCGAUAUAUUAAAAAUCGAUGGUAAAAUUAACAGCACUAGCCAUCGCUUUAAAACGGGUAGAUUUUUUUAAAAUAUAAUAAGAUCGACGGCUCCUCAAAUUGUCAAUAAACUUUCAAUAAAAUCGACAACCAUUGUGUCGAUAAUAUAAGAUUACGAUUUUUACAUACUUAAAAAAAGCGACACCCAGGCUGUUGAUAAUAUUAUUUAAAAUCGACAACCUAAGUGUCGAUAUUUAAUUUAUUAAAAUUGACAAAUUAACUAUCGAUUUAAUUAUUAAAUUACCGAUAACAACAUCGUCUAUUUUCCUUUUUUUUGUCUAUUUUAAAUUAAAAAUUGACAACAUUGCCUUUUAUUUUUGUCUAUGUUAAAUUUAAAAAUCGACAAUAAUGCCGUCGAUUUUAAUAACCAAAUUUUUUUUUUAGUUUUUUACAUUUGAAANNNNNNNNNNNNNNNNNNNNNNNNNNNNNNNNNNNNNNNNNNNNNNNNNNNNNNNNNNNNNNNNNNNNNNNNNNNNNNNNNNNNNNNNNNNNNNNNNNNNNNNNNNNNNNNNNNNNNNNNNNNNNNNNNNNNNNNNNNNNNNNNNNNNNNNNNNNNNNNNNNNNNNNNNNNNNNNNNNNNNNNNNNNNNNNNNNNNNNNNNNNNNNNNNNNNNNNNNNNNNNNNNNNNNNNNNNNNNNNNNNNNNNNNNNNNNNNNNNNNNNNNNNNNNNNNNNNNNNNNNNNNNNNNNNNNNNNNNNNNNNNNNNNNNNNNNNNNNNNNNNNNNNNNNNNNNNNNNNNNNNNNNNNNNNNNNNNNNNNNNNNNNNNNNNNNNNNNNNNNNNNNNNNNNNNNNNNNNNNNNNNNNNNNNNNNNNNNNNNNNNNNNNNNNNNNNNNNNNNNNNNNNNNNNNNNNNNNNNNNNNNNNNNNNNNNNNNNNNNNNNNNNNNNNNNNNNNNNNNNUCGAUUUAAUUAUUAAAUUACCGAUAACAACAUCGUCUAUUUUUCUAUUUUUUGUCUAUUUUAAAUUAAAAAUCGAUAAUAUUACCGUCGAUUUUUGUCUAUAUUAAAUUUAAAAAGUGACAAUGAUGUCGAUUUUAAUAGCCAAUUCUUUUUAUUUUUUCAUUUGAAAUAGCAGAUAAUUAAUACAAAUAAACUUUUAAAUAUAGAAAUAAAUUUUAUACUAAAUAUUAGAUAAUGAGAGAAAUAAAUUUUAAAAUAUAGAGAUUAAAUUUAUUCUAAAUAUUAGAUAAGAUAAUGAGUUUGCAAACUUAUCAAGAUAAUAAAUAAUCCUCUAAUAUAAAGAUUCAAGAUAAGAUAAAUAAUUAAAUUUAAAUUUAUAUUCAUUUAAUCAUAAUCCACUAAUAAUACAACUGGUAUACCCUAUAAUACAAGUACUGGUACACGAAAAUUUUAAAUUGCAAUAAAAAAAAGUGCAAAAAAUGGCUAUCUGUUGGCAGUUUAAAAUAAACCUUAGAAACAUUGAAGUAAAAAGUUUUUAAUUUUGAAAUUAUUAUUGACUAUGUAAAAUAUUUUAUUUAAAAUUUGAGUACAUGCAUGUAUUUAUUUAAGUCACUGAAACAUUACAAAUUUUUAUAGUACUUUUAACAUUUUUUAAAUUAUUUUUUUAAAUGUUUUGCAUGGAAUAAAAUAUUUUUUUGUGAUAUAAUUUAAAUAAAUUUAUUAAAAAAAUUAAUAAUCUAAAAUAAAAAAAUUUAUAUUUUAUAUUCCAUGAAUUAAAAAAAAACUGAACUCGAACUAUAUUUAUAGGACAUUCAUUGAUAAUUCGAAUGAGACCAAAUUGAAUUACCUUCGGCUGCUACUUGGUGGUAAUUCCAAUGAGUUCACUUUAAAUUAGAGCUGUAUUCACAUGCAUGUAAUUCGAUUCACCCUCAUUCGAAUUACUAAGACAUUUUGUUCAUGCAUAAUUCGAAUUGUACUGCUUUAAAUUAGUAUUGAAUUUUAUAAUUCAAUGAGUCUCGUUCGAAUUACAUAAAAAUACUUGGUAAAUCCUUGUAACGUUUAUUGUUUUGGUAGAUAUGUGUAAUAUUGGCUUCAAUUGAUUUAUAUAUGCAUCUUGCCUUAUAAAUAACUAAUAAUAUAAAUAUAAAUAUAAAUAUAAAAUCUAUCAACAUUUGUGAUUUUCAAAAAUAUAAAUAUAGAUAAGUAAUAAUAAAUUAUUAAUCACAAUAUAUAAUAAAUUAUAAAAUAUACAUAAAUAAUUAAUAAAAAAACAAUCAAUCAAAUACUACUUACUAAAUAAAAAAAUCUUACAUGAUCAAUUGAUAUUCUAUAGAUCACAUGUUGGUCAUGCUACCUAAUCAAUUUGUAAUAUUUAUCUAUCAUAAAAAUACAUACCUGCAUUCAUAUGCUGAAAAAAUUUCAGUGCAUGUAUGGUCUGCAAAUUCAACGACCGCAAGAAAGUAGGCUCUACAAACGUAUGCUGGUUUACUAGUGCAUUUGCCACCUCUGCCACAUCUGCCUCCAUAGUGCCGUUAGCCUGAUCUUUGUCUCCACCUGGAUCAACGAUCUCAUAGUUACUUUCAAGCUUCUCCUCGAUGAACGAUAUCUGUGAGGGAGUUUCCAUAUACACUGAAAACAUAUGUUGCAUGCUCGCUUCAUCGGUUACAUAUUUGGUUUGAAACUGAAUGAACCCACCAAAUACGGAUAUAGGAUACCUGUACAAAAUGCACGACACUCUCCUAGAUAUUUGAGAAUUCAUUUUUCUCACAAAUUACACCUUUUAAUUCUUCAAAUGACAAUGUGAGUGGAAUAACGAUAUCUAACAGAUUUUCACAAACAAAUUUCACUCAUUCAACUGUUUAUAACAAAAUAUGUCUAUGAUAAUAAACUUUUAACAUCACUCUAUCAUCCAUUAUGAUACAUUCACAUCAAAAGCUCUCAAUCUUAGUAAAAUUGCUGUUGAAACAAUGAAGAAGAAGAAGAAAGAAUCAGAGGGGUUCAGAAGAGAGAAUUGAGAGAUAAAGAAAAAUGGAGACUUCAGCUAAUAGUGGGUAUAUAUAAAAACAAAAAUCGGACAGUCCGACCGCUCUUUAACCGGUUUAAAUUUUAUAAAGAACUAAAAUCGGAUCGUCCAAUUUUAGUCAUAUACGAAUUCAAAAUUAUAGCAUGCAUGAAAUCGGACAGUCCGAUUUUAGUCAUAUACAAAUUCAAAAUUAUAGCAUGCAUGAAAUUGGACCGUCUAAUUACCAUAUUUAAUUUUUUUUUUUUGCACACUCAAAUUGGACCGUCCGAUUUGUGUUCCCCUUCUGCCGCAAAAAGAUUGAACGGUCCGAUUUCUUCCCCCUAACUUCGAAAAUCUAAUGCCGUCACAACACUCUAUUAACCCCUCAUACCUCCAUAACUCAGCGUUACACACACUUCAUUGUCAUAUUAAAAAUAAGGAAAAGUCUAGGGAACUAACUCUCUACCUAGCCAUUUUGAACUACUCAAUUAAUUAUAUUAAUUUUAAUUUAUUAGUUAAUUUGAAUCAUCCUCAUUAAUGAUUAUUUUAAAAAAAUAGGAUUUGCAAUUAACCGCCUAAUUAUUGGAACAUGAUUCACGGUUCUGAUAGGACUCUUCCUCUUUCUACGCAUUAAGUGUAUUGUUGUGCUUAAUUCAUUCUGCUGACGUCCUCAACAACGUGAACACUGAGGCCCACCUCUACUGUGCUACGCUGUUCUUGCCACCUUUUGUGUUAUUGUUCCUAAUCGGGGUUCCAUUGUUGUUCAUUGUUUGAUUACGUUCCGCUGCAAGGACCAGCAUGCCGCGUGACCACCGAAUCCCCACCUCCGCCGUGCUCUGCUGUUCUUGCCGCUAUUAGCAUUACCAUUCGUCAUCGGGAUGCCAUUGUUGUUCAUUGCUUGAUCACCUUCCGCCGCAAGGACCACCAUGCGGCUGCAUCUUUGAACGAAGUCGUUCGCGGUGGUUAGAGAGUUCUUCCCGCCGAGCUGUUGUACACAAAGAAGUCGACGUCGCAUUAUAUGGCUUCCGAUAGAGAGCAUUCGUCCAUGAACCAAUCAAUUUCGGAACGAAGAUUGAAUAGCCCCGUCGUUGAUGUGAGUGAUAAUAAUUCAAGGGAAGGCAAUGAACAUUUGAGUGUGAGGUUGCAAUUCAAUAUGUUUCCAAGGUACGUGGGGGAAAAGAGGAUGUUGUUUCAUUUUUUUUCCAUGCAAAUGAAUUGUAUUUGGUUAGUCUCAUGUGAAUAUUCUUUUUUUUUUAUACUAAGUGGAUGCGUUUUUUUUAGCUAAUGCAUUUUUUUAUUUACGAUUUGGAGAAUUUUUUUAUUAGUGUUGGAUGAUUUUUUUCUUAUUUUUAUAUGUUUUUUCUUUUAGGAUUUGGAUGAUUUUUUUUAUUAGUUUUGAAUGAUUUUUUUUUUGUGUUUUGUAUGUUUUUUCUUAGGAUUUGGAUAAUUCUUUAUCUUAUAUUUUAUUAUUUUUUUUAGAAAGAGAAAUUAGGAUUUGCUUGAUAAAUAGUAAAAGGUAAAUUAGAGUAAGAAGAGGUAAUUAAUAAUCAUUAAUUUUGUAUCCUUUAAAAAUUAAAAUUUAAAUAAUCAUCAAUUAAUGACAAUUAAUGAGUAUAGAGUGUAGUUUAAAAAUGUUUGUUGGCUAUACCCAUGUUGGUUUCCUAGCGAAAUUGUAAAAAUAAUGAGCCGUAUGAUGGGAAUAUGGGAAACUAACUAAAAAAUUGAAAAAUUAGAUAUGCAUGCUUUGGAACAAGUAAAUAACACUGUACAAGAAAAAUAAUUGACCGACAAUUUAGAACAAGUUUUUUUUGUCUAAAUUAAAUAUGAAAUUUAGAAAUUAUAUCUGAAAUCUAGCGCAUAAAAUGACUUUCUUUAUUUAAAGGUUUAAUGGAUUAAGAAAAUGAUAUGAUUUCUCGUUACUGAUACCACAUAUCAGUAUUAGUUCAAAAAUGAUUUUCAAUGUAAAUUUUAAUUUUAAAGAGUUUAAUUACUGUACUGGUCAAAAGUGAUACUUAAAAAAUAUUUUAUUAAUAUUAUGCAAAUCAAGAAUUAUGUAUGAAAUUUAGUUAUAUUUCAAGAAUCUUAUUUUAAUUUUUAUCAUUUAUUACUUAAAGGUAGAAAUAGAAAAAAAAAAUGGGAUUUAAAAUAAAAUUUAGGCACAUAACAAAGAAACUUAUUUUAUUUUUUUUUAAUUUUUUGUCUAAAUUAAAUAUUUUAAAAAAUUGUGUCUGAAAUCUAUGGGCAUAUUAAGAACCUUAUUUUGUUCUUUUUCAAUUUUUUUUAUCUAAAUUAAAUGUAAAAUUUAAAAAUUAUGUCUGAAAUCUAGCGCGUAAAAAGACCCCCUUUAUUUAAUAGGUUUAAUGGAUUAAGAAAAAGUUUAAUUACUCUAUUGGUCCUUAUAGUUUUACAAAAAAUUUUAAUUAGGUCUCUAUACUUUUUUUCCUUUUAAUUGGGUUCCUGCACCAAUUUUUUUUUAAUUAGGUCUCUCUUAGCAGUAAUUGACUUAUUAAUUGUACAGGAACCUAACUAGAAAAAUUGGUGCAGAGAUUCAAAUAAAAUGAAAAAAAGUGUAGGAACCUAAGUAAAAAAAAAAUUAGUGCAAGCUCAAUUAAAAGGAAAAAAAAGUAUAGGAACCUAAUUAAAAAUUUUACGAAACUAUAGGAACUAACAUAGUAAUUAAACCUUAAGAAAAUAAUAUGGUUUCUUGCUACUAAUACCACAUAUCCUUAUCACUUCAAAAAUAAUUUCUAAUGCAAGUUUUAAUUUUAAAUUAGUUUAGUUACUGUACAGGUCAAAAAUGAUACCAAAAAAAUAUUUCAUUAAAAUUAUGGAACUCAAGAAUUAUAUAAAAAAUUUAGACACAUUCAAAUAAUUUUAUUUUAAUUUUUAUCAUUUAUUACUUAAAAAGUAAAAAUUAAAAAAAAUGAGACUCAAUCUAAAAUUUAGGCACAUAUAUAAGAGGGAACCUUAUUUUAUUUUAUUUUUUUGUCUAAAUUAAAUAUUUUUCAUAAGUUAUACCUUAAAUCAAUGUGCAUAAAGGGAACUUUAUUUUGUUUAUUUAUAUGUUGUCUUUUUAUUAGAGAUAUCCACUGAUUAUCUAAAAUUUAGGCCCUUUUAGCAAAUUUUUUAUUUAUUUUUUUACCUUCUGUCCAAAUUACUUAAAAGGUAGAAAUAGAAAAAAGUGGAACUCGGUAUGAAAUUUAGACACAUAACAAAAAAUCUUAUUUUAUUUUUUUUUAAUUUUGUCUAAAUUAAAUAUAAAAUCCAAAAAUUAUACGUGAAAUCUAUGCUUAUAGAAGAAACCUUAUUUUGUUUUUAUUCAUAUAUUAUCUUCUUAUUAGAGAUGUCUCUAAUUCUUUGUGAACAAGAAGAAUAUUCAUAGCUAUGACUUUCUCUAACUUCAAAUAAAUAAAUAAAUAAAUAAAUAAAUAUUAUCUAGUUUUAUUUAAUAGAUUUAAUGAAUUAUGAAAAUGAUACGGUCUCUCGUUAUUGAUACUAUAUCAGUAUCACUUAAAAAAUGAUAUUCAAUACAAGUUUUAAUAUUAGAUAAGUUUAGUUAUUGAAUAAGUCAAAAGUGAUACCUAAAAAAUAUUUUAUUAGAGUGAUAGAAUUCAAGAAUUAUUUUUGAAAUUCAGGCACAUUCAACUAAUCUUAUUUUAAUUUUUAUCAUUUUUUAUUCAAAUUACUUAAAAAGUAGAAGUAGAAAAAUGUGGGACUCAAUAUGAAAUUUAGGCACAUAACAGAAAUUUUUUUUUGUUUUUUUUUGUUUAAAUUAAAUGUGGGAUUCAAAAAUUAUGCUUGAAAUCUAGGCACGUAUAAAGACCUUAUUUUAUUCUUUUUUAUAUGUUGUCUACUUAUUAGAGAUAUUUACUUAUCCUCUCUUAACAAGAAAAUUAUUCUUGGCUAUGACUUUUUCUAACUUCCAAAAAAAACAAGCAUCAUCCAAAAAAAUAUGUUUUACAUAUAAUAAAUAAAUAAAAAAGUACUUUUAUAUUAUUAUACCCAAAUAUAAUUGAUAGAUAAAAAGAUAUUUUUGCAUGAGAUAUCCAAACAUAAAAUUACUUUUACUUUUUUUUAUAAGAUCUUUUAAAAAAAUAUAACUUAAAAAAAGAUAUUUUUUUAGAAGUUCAGCCAAACAAACCCAUAGAGAAGUUAAAAAAAUGACUUCUCUCAUAAUACUACUACUUUUUAUCACAUUUCUAUAAAAUAAGCACUUUUAAAACUAAGAAUCCAAACACAAAAUAACUUAUUUAUAAGCUACUUUUAAUAUAACUAUUUAUUGUUUAAGUUAUUUUUUUAAAAGGAGUUUAAUUAAGCUAUUUAUCUAAACUGAGCCUUAAUAGGUUUAACUGAUUACGAAAAUGAUACAAUUUUUCGUUACUGAUAUCACAUAUCAGUAUCACUUUAAAAUGAUUUUUCAUGUAAGUUUUAAUUUUAAAUGAGUUUAGUUAUUAUAUAGGUCAAAAGUGAUAUCUAAAAAAUAUUUCAUUAGAGUUAUAAAACUUAAGAAUUAUGUAUAAAAUUUAAGCACAUUCAAAGAAUCUUAUUUUGAUUCUUAUCCUUUUUUGUUCAAAUUGUUUAAAAUGUAAAAAUAGAAAAAAAUAAACUCAACACAUAAUAGGAAACUUAAUUUUGUUCUUUUCAAUCUUUUAUUUAAAUUAAAUAUAAAAUCUCGAAAUAAUGACUAAAAUCUAUGCGCAUAGAAAGAACUUUAUUUUGUUUUUUUUUAUAUGCUGUCUUCUUAUUUAAAAUAUUCACUGAUUUUUUGUGAAUAAGAAGAACAUUCAUGGCUAUGAUUUGUUCUAGUUUCGAAAAAAAACAUCAUCAUCUAAGUUUAUUUAAUAGGUUUAAUGAAUUAUGAAAAUGAUACGGUCUCUCUUACAGAUACCAAAUCAGUAUCACUUAAAAAAUUAAUAUUUAAUGUAAGUUUUAAUUUUAAUUGAGUUUAGUUACCGUAGAAGUAAAAAAUGAUACAUAAAAAAUAUUUUAUUAGAGUUAUAGAAUUCAAGAAUUAUAUCUGAAAUUUAGGCACAUUUAACAAUCUUAUUUUAAUUUUAUCAUUUUUUAUUCAAAUUACUUAAAAAGUAAAAAUAAAAAAAGAGACUCAAUAUGAAAUUUAGGGACAUAACAGAAAUUUUAUUUUGUUCUUUUUUUAAUUUUUUGUUUAAAUUAAAUGUAGGAUUAAAAAAUUAUGCCUGAAAUCUAGGCGCGUACAAAGACCUUAUUUUGUUCUUUUUUAUAUGUUGUCUACUUAUUAGAGAUAUUUACUUAUUCUCUCUUAAAAAGAAAAUUAUUCUUGGCUAUGACUUUUUCUAGUUUCCAAAAAAAAAACAAGCAUCAUCUAACUUUAUUUAGGACCCGUUUGCAAAAAUUUAAAAGUAAUUUUUUUUUUUAAUUUUUGACUUAUGAAAAAUAGUAGUAUUAAUGUCUGGUGUAAGUUUCAAAACAAAAUUGCAGUUUUUUAAGAAGCUAUUUAUGAGUUUAUAGAGAAGUUAAAAAAUAACUUCUCUCAUAAUACUACUAUUUUUUAUCACAUUUCUAUAAAAUAAAUACUUUUAAAACUAAAAAUUCAAAUACAAAAUAACUUAUUUAUAAGCUACUUUUAAUAUAACUAUUUAUUGUUUAAGUUAUUUUUUUAAAAAGAGCUUAAUUAGACUAUUUACCUAAACUGAGCCUUAAUAGGUUUAACUAAUUACGAAAAUGAUACAAUUUUUUGUUACUGAUAUCACGUAUUAGUAUCACUUUAAAAAUGAUUUCUCAUGCAAGUUUUAAUUUUAAAUGAGUUUAGUUAUUAUAUAGGUCAGAAGUGAUAUCUAAAAAAUAUUUCAUUAGAGUUAUGAAACUUAAAAAUUAUGUAUAAAAUUUAAGCACAUUCAAAGAAUCUUAUUUUGAUUCUUAUCCUUUUUUGUUCAAAUUACUUAAAAUGUAAAAAUAGAAAAAAUGAAACUCAGCACAUAAUAGGAAACUUAAUUUUGUUCUUUUCAAUCUUUUAUUUAAAUUAAAUGUAAAAUCUCAAAAUUAUGACUAAAAUCUAUGCAUAUAGAAAGAAUAUUAUUUUGUUCUUUUUUAUAUGUUGUUUUCUUAUUUAAGAUAUCCACUGAUUUUUUGUGAACAAAUUCAUGGCUAUGACUUUUUCUAAUUUCAAAAAAAAUAAUCAUCAUCUAGGUUUAUUUAAUAGGUUUAAUGAAUUAUGAAAAUGAUACGGUCUCUCUUUACAGAUAUCAAACCAGCAUCACUUAAAAAAAUAAUAUUUAAUACAAAUUUUAAUUUUAAUUGAGUUUAAUUACUGUAAAGGUAAUAUAUAUACAUAAAAAAUAUUUUAUUAGAGUUAUAAAAUUCAAGAAUUAUAUCUGAAAUUCAGACACAUUCAACAAAUUUUAUUUUGAUUUUUAUUAUUUUUAUUCAAAUUACUUAAAAAGUAGAAAUAGAAAAAAUUGGACUCAAUAUAAAAUUUAGGCACAUAACAGAAAUCUUAUUUUAUUCUUUUUUAAUUUUUUAUCUAAAUUAAAUGUGCAAAUUAUUCUAAAAUCUAAGUUGUAAACAAGAAAAUCAUUCUUGGCUAUAACUUUUUCUAGCUUCCAAAAAAAUAAACAUCAUCUAACUUUAUUUAAUAGGUUUAAUGGAUUACGAAAAUAAUACAGUUUUUUGUUACCGAUACCACAUACCAGUAUUAUUUUAAAAAUGAUUUCUCAAGCAAGUUUUAAUUUUAAAUGAGUUUAGUUACUGUAUACAUCAAAAGUGAUAUCUAAAAAAUAUUUUAUUAUAGUUAUAAAACUUAGGAAUUAUGUAUAAAAUUUAGACACAUUCAAAAGAUCUUAUUUUGAUUUUUAUCCUUUUUUUUUUUAUUCAAAUCAUAGUUGUCAGAACCGAACCGGUGAUCGAACCGGUCAGGUUACUGGUUUACUGGUUUAUUGGUUCAACCGAUGAGUUAUUGGUCCAACCGGUAAAACCGGUCUCAUGUAAAUAAAAAAUAUAAAAUAAUAAAAAAUCUAACAUUAAAAUUUAAAAUACAUAUUUUUACUAAUAUUUUAAGAAUAAUUAAGUCUCAAAUUCUAUAAAUAACUAAUAGAAAGAUAGACAUAAAAUUAGUCCGUACUACUAUAAUAAUAUCUUAGUUGGACACAGUAAGAAUAACAAUCUAUAAACUAUAUCCAAAGAGUAAUUUUAAAGUCUAAAUAUCUUUACAUAAUUAAAUAAUUAUAUAUAAAUUUAUUUUUUUAGAAUAAGUAAUUUUUAUUUUAUUUUAAAAUUAAUUAAUUUGUACUUCAAUUAAAAAAUAAUUAAUUUAAAAAAUAUUGAAAUAAAAAAUAUUGAAUUAAGUAUUUUUGUAUAUAUAUAUAUUAGUUAGGAUAUUAUAUAACAUACAAUAUAUAUUAUAAAGGCAUGAAGUAUUCUAAAAGAACAAACUAGUGUAGUGGUAGUUAGCUUGGUCUCCCUUUGAGAAGGGCCAAGUUCGACUCCUGCCUUGCAUUAUAUUUUUAAAAAAUUUCCCAACCCGCACGCUGACAUCAGCAUGACAUCAUCAAUGCGCGGGAUUGACUGUUGACUGUGUUUGUUGACCGAACCGGUUCGGUUCAAGUUCGUGCCGGUUUUGACCGGUUUAAUCGGUUCGUACCGGUUUUAACCGGUUUAAUUCCUUAAACGGUUAGUAUACUAAACCGGACCGGUACAUGGUCCGGUUCACCGGUUUUCCGGUCGAACCGGCCGGUCCGGUCCGGUUUUUACAACUAUGAUUCAAAUUACUUAAAAUGUAAAAAUUAAAAAAAUAAAAUCCGGUAUGAAAUUCAGGCACGUAAUAGGGAAUUUAAUUUUGUUCUUAUUUAAAUUAAAUAUAAAAUCCAAAAAUUAUGCCUGAAAUUUAUGAAAAAAAGAACUUUAUUUUGUUCUUUUUAAUACGUUGUCUUCUUAUUUAAGAUAUACACUGAUUCUUUGUGAAUAAGAAGAAUAUCCAUAACUAUGGAUUCCUCUAACUUUCAAAGAAACAAGAAUUCUCUUUUCACUGUGAUCCGUUUCUUUAAGAUUGUUCUCAGAAAAAGCCUUGAUGAUGGAUAUCUUGUGAGAAUUUUCUUUCCUUCCUAUCCUCUUUUUAUCUUUCACUGUUUUUAUUUUACACAUACAAAAUUUUUUUAUGUAUACUUCUUGUGUUUCACUAUUUUUGUCAUAUUUUCUAUGUGAGGUAACAAGCACACACAUGCAUGGUUUCUUUUCUUACCAGCAUAAUAUGCUCCUCAAUAUUUAUGCUUUUUUAGUUUUAAAUUUUUUAUUGUUAGUUAGUUAGAGUAGUAACUGAAUCAACAAAGCUGCUGUUAGGGAAGGAUAAUUCUUCGUAGGGGUGUUCAUAGAUCGGAUCCGAUCUACAACAGUAUUUAUCCGAAUCCGAUUUGAAAAUUGUGGAUAUAGAUUCGAUGUGUAAGACUAUCGGAUCGGAUCAGCACACUAAUCAGAUCGGAUUGCGAAUUUUAGGUAGAUAUUCGUAUAUCUGAUCAGCAUAUUUGCGUAUCCGCAAAAAUAAAGAAAUAAAUAAAUAAAUAUUCUUUUUAUGUUUUAUUUUAACUAAUAAUUAUCUUAUAUGUUGUAUUAUUUUAAUUUAUUAUUUAAAAAAAGUAANNNNNNNNNNNNNNNNNNNNNNNNNNNNNNNNNNNNNNNNNNNNNNNNCAAGUAAUAAUUAUUAUAUAUGUUGUAUUAUUUUAAUUUAUUAUUUAAAAAAUGUAUGUUUAAUAUUAUUUUAAGAAUAAACAUAUUUAAAAUAAUAAAAAAAAUAAAUUUUAUUAAUAUUUUUUUAAUAAAAAUAAGCUUUUAAAAAUAUUUUGUGUUUUGCGGAUAUCGAUCCACGUUCACCACUAAUUUCUUAGAAAGUUGUCAAGAGGUUGAGUGAUACAAAUAGAGUGAGUCGAAUCAAGUUUUGUUAUGGUGAGUUUUGAUAAGUAUGGCAUUGCAGAAAAUACCAAACAAGUUCAGUAGAAAAUAUGGUGGUGAUAUGCCAAAUCCAGUGCAACUCCAGCCUCCAGAUGGCACUGAAUGGAGAAUAGAUUGGACUAAUCAUGAUGGUGAGAUUCUGUUUGAAAACGGUUGGAAAGAGUUUGCUACAUUUUACACUUUGGAGAAUGGUCAUGUGUUGUGGUUUGAGUACAAUGGAACUUCUAACAUCAAAGUAAACAUAUUCGACAUGAGUGCCCUCGAAAUUGAUUAUCCUUCCAAUGGCCGAAUCGGUGAUGACAACUCGGUUGAGAUUUUGGAUGAACCGCCGGCACGAAGGGGCCGAGGCCGGCCGAAGAAAAAUGUGAUAGCAGAACCAAAGCAAUCACGUGCUUCUACUUCUACAAGCAAAAUAAUGAAAAGUGCCAUCAAAACUAAAGAUAUAGAUAAAAAUCCCAAUACAAAAAAAUUGAAGCAGCAUGUCGAGAAUGAAAAAGAUGGUCAAUCUGAAGAGUCAGCAGAUCUUAAGCUUCCAAUAAUUCAACGUGCCAGACCAGAUAUGGAUGGUCUGUUUCAUAAUCUCAUCAUUCUUUCAUUUUUUGGAUUCUACUGAUUUUGUUUAAUUUUUUUAUUUUCUUUGUUGCUAAAAUGCAUAAAUACUUCUUUUGUCAUAAAGAAGUUAUUAGAGAAGCAAAGAAGUUCAAGUCGAAAAAUCCUUCUUUUGUCAUAAAGAUUAAGCAAAUGCACCAAACAGGAUCACCAGCAGUAAGUUGAUUCAUUUAUCUCUGUGCAAACUUUGUAUGUCAUGCAAAAUUGAGACUGUUGUGAACCAUGAUGAUGAAAUAUUCUGAUAUGAUUGCAGAAUCUUCCAGUUUGUUUCUUCAGGAUGUACUUCGAGAACAGGAAGCAGUGGCAUGCAACAUUGAUCUAUUAUCCAAAUAGGAAGAAUGCCCUGAUCUCUAAUUGGCGCUUGUUCCUUGAAGAAAAUAACUUAAAAGCCGGAGAUGUUUGUAUCUUUGAGCUCAUUAACAGACAAGGUCCAGAUCUUAAGGUUCAUAUUCGUCGUAGCCAUGAUUAGCGAAUGGCUUUGCUUACUUGUGUUGCAGAUCAAUGGAGUAUGUUCGGGGAUCAAGAGUUGUAACAGAGUCAUAGUUUUCAUCAUACUAAAUGGUUGCAUUGCAGUGUUAUCUCCUUACUACCAUAACUAGAAAUAUAUAAGUGAUCCAUGCAGAAACAAUACAUGUAGAAUUAUAUAUUGUCGGUAGUAUAAGAUGUUAUUUGGACAAAGUACCUAAUCAAAAGUUGCCCAACUACUUAUUUUCAAAGCAAUUUAUGGUUUGGAUCCUAUUUCACUCAUUCUCCCUCAUUUAUUAUACUUGUCACUAUUUAGAAAGUUACUAAUUAUUUGCAGAGUUGCAGCAAUUCCAUAAAAAAUUCCAAUGUAAAUAACUUUUAAUGAGUGUAUAACUUUUUUUAAUUCAUUGUAUUGGAAUAAUAGGUAAAUUGGUACAAGUUUAUUAUGUCAUAUUUAAACAAACGUAAAAUGUUUCUGAUAGAGAUAAAUGUAUAACUUACUGGUGAAGAUCCAGAUAGUUGAGUUUGCCUUAUCUUGGUUAAGAAAGAGGGAUUAUUUGACUUGAACUUCAUUGCCUCUUGAACAACUUUACAUGUACACCAUAAAAAUUUGCAUAAAAGUUACUUGUAGCUAAGUUCAAGCUUCAAACAACACAGUAAUUUUUAUUCAUUUGAACGAAAUUUAAACACAGCCUAAGAACAAUAAGAUAUUUAAUGCAUAGUUACAUGAAAUGCAAUACACCAUAUGUAAAAUAUUUUAUUUGGAAUAUAUGCGUACGCUGCUUUCAACACUGCAACACUGCAUUCUUCAUUCAGAUUGACUAGCUUCAUUCUUGCAACACUGCAUCCAGUUUUGUUUAUCAGGGGCCUUCUCUACAUCUCCAGUUUUGACAGAACUCAUCAAUAUUUUACUUGUAGAAGGAGAUGAUACUUCUGCUGCUGCUUUCAAUUUUUUCCUCGGCCGGCCUCGGCCUCUUCGUGGCGGUUCAUUCUCAACCUUAACCAUGUUGUGAUCAUCAAUGUGGUCCUUGGAAGGAUAGUCUAUUUCAGGGCACCUAGUUUUGGCAGAACUUGUGAACAUUUUACUUGUACAAGCAGAUGGUGUCUUUAGUGCUGCUUUCCCUGUUUUUCUCGGCCGGCCUCGGCCUCUUCGUGGCGGUUCAUUCUCAACCUUAACCAUGUUGUCAUCAUUAAUGUGGUCCUUGCAAGGAUAGUCUUUUUCACGCCACCAUUUCACUCCUCUAGCUUUGGCAGAACUUGUGAACAUUGUACUUGUACAAGAAGAUGGUGUCUUUGGUGCUGCUUUCUCUGUUUUUCUCGGUCGGCCUCGGCCUCUUCGUGAAGGAUAGUCUAUUUCAGGGCACCAUUUCACUACUCUAGUCAUGGCAGAACUUGUGAACAUUUUGCUUGUACAAGGAGAUGGUGUGUUUGAUGCUGCUUUCUCUGUUUUCCUUGGCCGGCCUCGGCCUCUUCGUGGCGGUUCAUUCUCAACCUUAAUGGAUCCAGAAAAUUUUAUUAGCGGAAUGAAAAUAUAUAUAACAUGAUAAUUAUUUUUAUAUUUAUUAUUAUAAUUAAUUUUUAAAUUAUCUCACAAAUAAAUUAAAAUAAUAAAAUAAUUAUUUAAAUAAUAAUCUGUUAAUAAUUUAACAUCAUAAAAUUAAAAUUAAAAUCAAAUUCACUAAUUAAAUACAAUUUUAAAAUCAAUUCAUAAAACAAUAAAAAAAUCCCUCGUGAAAGUAGCAGUAAAAUCAUAUAUACAUAACACACUAUUGCUGCUGCUUUGGCUAUAAUUUUUUUUUUAAUUUUGUGAUAAAACUAAUCACAUGAAUAAGAAAAAAAGAAACAUACAAUAGAGUAUAAAAGUUUAAUCUUUUUCACACAUAUAUAUGAACUAACUCUCGAGAAGAUCUUAAAUAGAAUCAUAUAAAAAGAUGAAUCAGAGUUAGUAGUNNNNNNNNNNNNNNNNNNNNNNNNNNNNNNNNNNNNNNNNNNNNNNNNNNNNNNNNNNNNNNNNNNNNNNNNNNNNNNNNNNNNNNNNNNNNNNNNNNNNNNNNNNNNNNNNNNNNNNNNNNNNNNNNNNNNNNNNNNNNNNNNNUAUAUAUAAAAUUUUUAAAACUCAGUGGGAGCACUAACCAUGUUGUCAUCAUCAAUGUGAUCCUUGGAAGGAUAGUGUAUUUCAGGGCACCAUUUCACUUCUUUAGUUUUGGCAGAACUUGUGAACAUUUUGCUUGUACAAGGAGAUGGUGUCUUUGGUGCUGCUUUCUCUGUUUUCCUCGGCCGGCCUCGGCCUCUUGGUGAACUUGUGAACAUUUUACUUGUAGAAGGAGAUGGUGUCUUUGGUGCUGCUUUCUCUGUUUUUCUCGGCCGGCCUCGGCCUCUUCGUGGCGGUUCAUUCUCAACCUUAGCCAUGUUGUCAUCAUCAAUGUGGUCUACUUCAGUUGUGGCAGAACUUGUGAACAUUUUACUUGUAGAAGGAGAUGGUGUCUUUGGUGCUGCUUUCUCUGUUUUCCUCGGCCAGCCUCGUGGCGGCAGUUCAUUCAAGAUCUCAAUCGAAUCAUCAUCGCUGAUGUGAUCCAUGGAAGGAUAGUCUAUUUCAAGGCAAGUCUUGUCAAAAAUGUGUACUUCAAUGUUAGAAGUUUGAUUGUACUCAAACCACAGCAAAUGGCCAUGAUCCAAAGAGUAAUAUGAAGCAAAUUCUUUCCAACCAUUUUCAAAUAGAAUCGCACCAUCAUACUCAGACCAAUCUAUCUUCCAUGCAGUGCCAUCUCGAGGCUUCAGAUACACUGGAUUUGGAACACUGUCACCAUAUUUCAUACUGAACGUUUUUGGUACCUCCUGCAAUUCAAAUGAAAGUAUGAAACUAGUCUUAGUAAUAAGCAUAAAUGAAAGAAACCCUUACAAGGGAAAAAUCACAAAGAGAAAUGCAUGCAUUAAAUAAUAUUAUAAGUAAAGAGGAUAUGAAGUGAAGAAAAUGCUUACAAUGUUUCCAUCUUCAAGGUUUUGUCUGAGAACAAUCUUGAAGAAACCGGCAGAGGAAGGAGAAUGCUUGUUUCUUUGGAAACUAGAGGAAGCCAUGGAUGUUGACCAACUCGCUACUUCAUUAUAAGCACGUACUUAUAUAUACACAUGAAACAGAAAAAACAACACACACACACCGUGCAACUAGAAGUGAUAAACCAAAAACUAUGUUUGAACUCUUAAUUAUAGAGGAUUAAAAUGCUAGUGGUAGUUAAAAAUGGUUUUAUCUUUAAUGUAUCAAUAAGGUUCUUAAAUGUGGAAAAGACUAAAAAAUUAUUUUAAAAGAAUUCUUAACCUCUCCAAUUUUUAUAAAUUUUAUUUGAUAAAUAAAAAAAAUUUCUCUCAAAAUAGAAAGCACAAAUUUAGAAUAUAUUUAUAUUCUAAAAAAAAAUCUUACAAAUAUUGGAAUUAUAAUAGACAUAAAAUUAAUUAUAAUUAUUUUAGAUUUUAUUAAUCUUCAAUCUUUUUUUAUGAUAUACUAUUUUACUGCAUUCAUGGAUUAGAUUCAUAGGUAAAUUACAAUUUUGAAUCAAAUCCAUGAAAAAUUCUACCUCACUUUUUUUUAUCCUUAUACCAAACACAACCUUGUCUUUCACUUUGAGAAGAUAACAAUGCAAUCAUGAAGUGCCAAAACAAGAAAUAAAAUUAAAACACUUAGUUCAUACAUAUAUAUAUAUAUAACUGGUCCAAACCAAAAAGGAUUGAAUACAGUAGAAGUUUGAUUCAACAGAAAAGAAAAAAAAAGGUGAUACAUUCUUCAUGAAAUUAACCUUAUUUAAGAAUUAUGAGCUCUUAGUUCGUGAAGUUAUAAUACAUUAGCCUAGCAUUGGGCUCUACAAAUAUGAACAUCAAACAGAUCUUUUUCAUUGAUGAACUCAAAAACACAAACAUCUCCAGCUUCUAAUUUACUUGCUCUAGCAAAUGAGCUCCAACCAGCCGAAAUAAAGCUGUUUUUCGAUGUCGGAUUGUAGAUUAUCGUAGCAGGCCACGACUCCUUUCCGAACUGUAAUUUUACAUCCUGCUGAUUCUUUUUAAAAUACUUUCUGUAAAAGAUAGCUGAUAAGUUCUGCAUCACAUUCCAUUUUUGAAUUGCCAUGUUAAAAAAUAGUUAUAAACUUACAAUUUGCGAAACUAAGUAUAAACUAGCACUCAGAAGUUUGCAUGGCAUAUUAUGUUUUGUCAUCGAUGAAAUGUAUUGAAGUAAACUUACAGGCCUUGAUCUCCUUGGAUCACUGUCUCUUAUCUUGACCAUGAAAGAGGGAUUCUGUGAGUUGAGCUCCUUAACUUCUUUUGGGAGCUGAAUCACAUGAGUCACUGGUUUGGAAAGUGACUCUGAUACAUAAAAGAAUUGUAAAAAAUUAGCAUGAAUUUUACUUGUGAAGAGUUUUGGAUACAAGUAUAUCUAUAGGGUUGGAGACAACAAAAAUUUUAGCAUAAGAUUAGUUUAUAUAACAAAUUGUGGUUACAUUAAGGACCAAAUACAUAGUCACUGCAUUCAUAAGCUAACUGCAUUCUUAGCAGAACUAACAAUAGUUUCCUUAAGAUUAAAAUUCUGCUGCUAUAAAUGUUUUAAGGAAGGGAAGAAUUAGAGAUUUGUAAAAUGUACUCCAAAUCAAACACGGGUCAAUUAAUUUUUAAUAUAAUUUUUUUAAUGAGAAUAAUGCUAAAUUCUAUUCCAUUUUUAAAGUUAAUUAUGUUUUCAAUGUUGUACUAAUAUCUUAAUUUUUUACAGAACAACAAAUUCUUAAACAAUUGCCUUACCGCGGCGUUGUCGACGACAAAUAUGAACAUCAAACACCGGAUCCUUUCUAUUGAUGAGCUUAAACAAACAAACAUCUCCGGCUUGUAAUUGACUAGCUCGAGCAAAAAGGUUCCAACCAGCAGAGAUAAAGGCAACACAUGAUGAUGGCCUAUAGAUCAACUUAACAGGGAACAACUUCUUUCCAAACCUUAUAUUUGCAUUUUGUGGAUUAUUUUCAAAAUACUUUCUGAAGAAUUUAGUUGAAAAGUACUGCAGCACAUCAUAUUUAUGUCAUCAUGGUUAGAAAUAAGACACAAAGUUUGAAAGAAUAAUAGCACAUGCAAGUUCACAUGAUACAUAAUUUUCAACAUGAUAUAUGUAUUCACCUAUACUUACACAUGGUGCUCUCGUUUGAGACCGUUGCGUUAUCUUGAUGAUGAAAGAGGGCUUUUCCCACUUAAACUUCUUAGCUUCUUUCAGAGAUUCAGGUCUUGCAGGACAGGGCCUAAUAGAAGAUUCAGAAUCUUUUCUUCUUCUAUUCCGUUUGCCUUGUACAUAGGAAAAAAAGAAUGAGAAACUACCACUGUAAUGUACACAAAGCAGUUACAAGUUGUAACUCAAAAACAACAACGGUUGAAUCCACAAAAGGAAAGGAUGAUCCAAUUAUGAGACACGUACCAUUAUAAUCUUGAUUGACAGACACUAGCAUCUCACGGUUUUUCUCUUUGGAUUUAAUACCGUGUGAAUUGAGGCUUCUUUCAACAUCCCUGAUUUGUGUGUCAUUUUCCAAUUGUCUACUUUUAGAAGCAGAUGACACUAGUGCUCUCAGUUUUUUAGUCGGUUGGCCCCGGACUUCUCUUGGCAAUUCAUUCAAUCUUUUCUUCUGCGGUCCCUCGUUAAGUCUCAUGUUUUGGGUGCUGGGACUGCUAUCCACAUGUCUAGUUUUUUGUUCUUCUGGCCUUUUCACUGACUGCUGAUCUCUGCGUGGCAGCUGCUCUUUGAUCUGAUCAUUGUCAGGAUACUCUAUUUGGAGGCAACCCAUGUCAAAUAUGUGUACUUCCAUGUGAGAAGUUCCAAUAUUAUAAUCAAACCAUAACAAAUGGCCAUGAUCAAGAGAGUAAUAUGCAACAAACUCUUUCCAACCCUUUUUAAACAAAAUUUCACCAUCCUGAUUAGUCCAAUCUACUCUCCAUUCAGUACCAUCCGGAGGCUUAAGAUACAAUGGAUUUGAUAGGCCAGAACCAUGUUUUUCAGUGAACUUUAUUGGUAACUUCUGCAGUGUUAUGAAUCUGGCGUUAGCAACCAUAAUAACAAUAAGGUGACACACAUUAGUAUGUCUUCACCAAGAUGUUGACAUGUAUUAUGUUAAAUAGUUUAGUCAAAUAUAUCAAACUAUUUAACGAUUUUCGACUAUCAUCUUCAUAUAAUAAUAACAUUAAACUCCCAAUUCAUCCUUCACUAAUAAUUAUAAAUAGUGCAGUAAAAUAGUCCAAACAUAUUAGUCCUAAAUUUUGUAUGUAGGUAAAGAUUAAUCUUUCACCUGUUUUAAAGGAGAGACUAAUUUCAAAUUUCAAAAGGCUAUUUUGCAGCAUUAUUUGCAUAAUUAGAGACUAGGAGUGAAAUAAAAAAAAUGUUAAAAGAAGGCAUUGUCCAACAUGAAAAUUGGUAGGGACCAAAUGAGUAAUAACAAAAUUAGAACUCAUGCAUAACGAAAAAAUGAUGAAUAUGAUAAUUUUUCAAAUCACUGCAAUAUGUCCUAUGAUGAGUGAAAGUGUUACCUAGAUCAUUUUUCAUUUUUUAAUCGUAAUUAAUUUUGUAGUAAGAAUACAUACGGAGUACAUAAAAUGUAACCAUCUAACAAAUAUGUUUUUAGGUUUUCAUUCAUCUUAUGUAUUUUUUAUUUUUAUGUACUUCUGCUACAAAAUUAAUUAUGAUUAAGCAUACAUUAUUGUAAAUAAAAAAUGAUCUAGAUAACAAGAAGAAGGAGUUUACUAUUACUAUAUUUUCAGCUAAGAAGCCAUGCAUGUGUGUUGUUCUAUGAAGAAAAUGUUUAUAAAUGAGAAAAAUUAUAUACAGAGAAAUAAAGAGAGAAACUUUUUGUUAACUAAAUAAUAUCUCAAAAGAUAAACAGAUUAAAAGAAAAAGAUGAGAUGAAGAAGACGAGAGAAAAUGCUUACAAAGUCAUCAUCUUGAAGAGCUUGUUUGAGAAUAAUCUUAAAGAAAGAAAUCACAGUAGAAGUAGAAGGAGACUGCUUGUUUUGUUGAGAGCUAGAAGAAGCCAUAGCAAACGAAUGAUGGAUGGAUUUGACUAUUGUUGAGGCUGAAAGUCUCUGUCACCCGGUAUUCCUUAAAUAACCUUAUUUUGGGAUAACAAUUAAAUUAAAAAAAUAACAAGUGAGUACUAAAAUAAGUUAUAUAUAUAUUUUAAUUUAUUUUUAAUAUAAAUUUUAUAUUUUUAUAUGUAUUAUAUAUGUAUAAAUAAUUUUAAUAUAUAUUUAAAANNNNNNNNNNNNNNNNNNNNNNNNNNNNNNNNNNNNNNNNNNNNNNNNNNNNNNNNNNNNNNNNNNNNNNNNNNNNNNNNNNNNNNNNNNNNNNNNNNNNNNNNNNNNNNNNNNNNNNNNNNNNNNNNNNNNNNNNNNNNNNNNNNNNNNNNNNNNNNNNNNNNNNNNNNNNNNNNNNNNNNNNNNNNNNNNNNNNNNNNNNNNNGGACUGAUUCCUUUAUAAUUGAUUGCGGAGUUAAUGGUAUUAUUAGAGAGACGAUAAAAAAAUAGUUAAAAUUUAUUUUAUAAUUAUUUUUGUCUAAUUUUUUCUUUUUGCUAGCAAACAUUUUUGAAAUGAUAAUAUGAAAUGCCAUUAGAUAAACUAAACAAAAGGAGAAGGUGCACAUGAAAAAAAAACAAAAUAGAGGCAUAAUGAAAUAGCACGAUAAAUAUUAGUACAUGGAAGAAGUUAGAUGAUAAAGGCAAAACGUGUAUCUUUAACUGUUAUAGCACAAACUCAAAAGUAUACAAGCUGUAUAAUCCAGAAUUAAAGAAGGUGAUCAUCAGUAAAAAAUGUGACGUUUGACGAGAAAAAUAUGUAGGACUGGAACAGAAAGACAGUAAAGCAGCCGAUUAUAAUUCCAAAUUCAUGUGAUGAAAUAGAACAAAGAUAAUCUAACACAACUAAACAACUAAAAUCAUCUAGAAGACCUCAAAAAAAAAUAUAAACUACCUACUAGAUUGGCAGAUUAUAAAAUUGACAGUGAUGAUGAGAAUAUAUUACGAAAAGAAUGGCAACAAUCUUUUUAAAUUUGUGUAACUAUAUUUUAAAUUGUAACUCAACAAUUGGCAGCGGUUUUAAAUCCGCUGUCAUAUCUUAACAGAAUAAUUCAACGGAUAGCAUUUUGUAGCGGUUAACAACCGCUGCCAUCUCCAAGCAGUCAUAUUCUUACGAUUUUGUAGCGAAAAUAACCGCUGCAAAAUACCAUUUAACAGCGGUUGUUCCAGCGGUUGCUAUUAACCACUGCAAACGGUUUAACCACACGCUAUCUUUUAGCGAAUAUACCAACUGCUGCUAUCCGUUUGGCAGCGGUUAAAAACCACUGUUAAUCCUGUACAUAACCGCUGUUAUUUAUCGGAUAUGGUGUAGUGCAUUAGUUAAUUGAUAAUAUGAGAUAUGUCAUUACUCAUUAACUAACCUUAUUUAGGAAAAAAAAUAGAGCUUAAUUAGGAGGGUUUGAUCAUCAGAUAAAAAUUAUAAGAUCAAUUUAAUUAUUUUUUCUAUUAUUUAUAAACCAAAUUGAUUAUUAGAUAAAAGUUGGCAACUAAUUUAAUUAUUAUUCAAUUUAGUCACCAAUUUAAAAUAUUUUAUGCUAUUAAAUUUUAAUAUUAUUUUUAAUAACUUACAAUUAGAAUAAUCAAAUUUUAACUGCUUUAUUGGAAUAUAAAUUGAUUAUUAUCAUAUAUUAUUGGUUCGGAAUUUUAAUUAAGAAUUACAAAACUUACGUCAUUAUAUAUUUCUUUCAUUUAGACAAAUUCUUUCAUAUAUAUUUACAAAUAAAAUAAAAGAUUAAAAUUGAGUGUAUUUAACUUAAUAACAAAAAUUAAUUCAUAAAAUAAAAAAGUUAUCUUUAACACAUCCAUUUUUAAAACGGUAACCUUUCUAAUAUACGAAUUAUUAUGAUUUAAAUAGUAUUUAUAUUUUUUUUUUGUUUUUUGUUUUUUGUUUUUUUUUACAAAUUGCAAUGAAAGGAUAUUAUUUACACAAGAAUAACAAAUAAGGGCAAAAAUUUAAGAAACUGGCUUUUUUUUUUUCUGAACGAACAUAAUAUAUCUAUGAGAAAAACUAAACUAAACCCAGUGAUAUCCCUAAUAAAUAGUAGAAAAAAAUGUAUUGUUUAAUUAUAAACUGGAGCUUGUUAUUUAUUUACUUCUGACCCCUUUUUUAAUUAUUUUAUUCAUUUAUGUUAACUCACAAAAAAAAUAAUAAAAAAAUACAAACGGGUCAAAAUGUUAUCAAAACCCGUUGUUCUUAUAGUAAUCCCAGAUUUCAAGGUACUUUUUUUGUAUUAACUGUGAUAUAUUCUCUGCAGAAAUAUUUUUUAUGUAGUAAAAAUAAUUGGCUUCUUAAGUUGUUUUGCUUUUAUGUAUUUUCUAAUUUUUGGCCCUCUCCUUUGUUUGUGAUGCUUUUAAGAAUUUAUAGAGCAUGAAAGAUAUUUGAUAGGACUGUAAUAAACAUUUUUUCAAAAACUUAAACUAAUUGAACUCUUGAUCUUUUAGAUUCAGAAUUUUUAUACCAUGUCAUGAUACUACUCAUCCCAAAAACUUCAGUUAAUGACAAAAGAUAACACUAAUAAUUAUAUCUCUAAUACUCUCUAAUCUUCCAUUACACACAUUAUAUAAAUAUUCCAUUAGCUCCUCAUGAUUUUCCUAUUUAAAAACUUCUGAUAGAUUAAAAAGUGACCGUUGAUAAUGCUUUAUACCUUCAUUAAAGUGGAUAAUUUUAUUAUUGACGUUCUUCUUCUUCUCUUGCUAUUAUAUCUUGUUAUUUUUCUUUUGUAGUGUAUUACUUAAUCAUGAAUUCAUGAUCAUAAUGCAUGCAGCAGGUUUAAUUUGCAUGUUUGUUGAUUGGAUGUCACGGAAGCAAGUUUUGUCCCGAGCCUUCGUUUUUGGAGAAUCUGGGAAAAGUAAGACACAUGCUUUGGAACAAUAAUUUUGACCGAUAACUCCAAAGAUAAGAAAGAUCAAAUUAAUAGGUACGUGCCUACGUGGUGUACAUGCAAACACAUUAAUGAUAACUUUUAAAAUAUAUUUCCAAUAAAAUACAAUUAUGAAGAAGAUAUAUAAUAACUAAAAUAAAUUUACCAAUUAGAGUUAAUUUUAAAUAUUUUGACGUAACAUUAUUUAAAUAUUGUAACUUAAUUAUUUGUACUUAGUUGUAUAUAUUAUUGUUGAAUGUUUAUAAUUAAUUAUGAGAGCAUUUUUAAUAUUAGUUCUAGUUUCAUUUUAUUUUGGUCUUACAAAAAUAUUUGUACAGUGAGACUAUAUAUCAUAAAUAGUGAUUUAAAAUUAAAAGUGAAUUUUGGCCUUCUAAUACUUAAUAUUAAUUUAAUUAAAAUUUUAUAUUAUUUUUAUUUAUUUUAUCAACAUAUUAUACAAGUACCAAAAUUUUAUUGGUUCUUUAUCAACGUGAUACCCGUAUAUCUCUAAUUUAAAAUUUUUUACUAAUGAUAAAUUUAUUAUGUAUCUUUAGAAUACAUAUUAGCUAAACUCUUUUUUUUUUAUAGGUGAACCGAUGAAUUUUCUUUUAAUGAAUAUUACAUGAUAAAAUGAGAAAAAAAUUGAAAAAAAACUGCGUUCAAAAUUUUAAAAUAUACCUAAUAUUGGAUCCGUCUAUUUUGCUUCAGUUUUUGAAGUAUCACUUCUCUUCUUCGACUUUUUUUUUUUUUACUUAACUGUGGUAUUCUCUGCAAAAAUAUUUUUGUUUAGUAAAAAAAAUUCGUUUCUUAAGUUCCUUUACUUUUGUGUAUUUUCUAAUUUUUGGCUUUUAAAUAUUUUUUAAUUUUUGGCCCUCCCCUUUUGCUGAUGCUUCUUAAGAAUUUAUAGAACAUAAAAAAUAUUUGACAUGAUUGUACUCCCAUAUCUUCCAGCUCAUUCUUUGUUUAUUUAAAACUUUUUGACAGGUUAAGAAGUGGGCGCUGAUGCUUUAUACCUUCGUUCAACCGAUAAUUUCAUUAUUGAUGUUCUUCUUCUCUUGCUAUCAUAUCUUAUUACUUUUCUUUUGUGUUGUACUACUUAAUCAUAAUCAUAAUGCAUGCAACAGGUUUUUUUUUUUGGACAUAUUUAGGGCAAUCAUAAUGCACGCAACAGGUUUUUUUGGACAUAUUUAGAGCUAAGCCCAAAUCCUAUCCGAGCCCAUAACCCAACCCGCCCAAACCCAAACCCCAAUCUGAUCUUCUCUCUCAAAGCGUUUAAUUCUUUCACCAAGAGACAAGCUCCCAUGGCCUCCACAGGUUUAAUUUGCAUGUUUGUUGAAGUCCAAUAAAAAAUCUUGAGCCUUCGUUUUUGGUCUUGAGGAAUAUUGGGCCAUAUUGGCCAGACUUCUUCUAUUUUUCUUCUAAUUUUUUUGUUUUAUUUUUUUGGUAUCGAUAGAACUGAACUUUUUUUUUUAUACAGAAUAAUAAGUGCAAACUAAAUUAUCAACUACUGUCUUUUUUUUUUUUUGGAAAUAUUAUCUUGGAUCGGACAAAAUUUGGUAUUCACACUAGAACAUUGAAAAAGUUUGAAAUCAAAUUUAAUUGAAUUUCAAGUCCAAAAAAAAAUUUUAAUUGAAUUUGAAAACUAAAUUACAUCCUAAAUAAUAGAAACUAUAAGAAUGUAAAUUAUUUUUUUAGUGCAAGACAACAUAACAUUCAUGAAUAACGAAGAAUCAUAAAUAAAUGAAAGCUUUAAGUUGAUGAUUAAACUUAAAGAAUUUAAAGUAAAUUUGAAUAAAAAUUUAAUUAGUCAAAAUUUCUACUAAAUUCCUGAAAUAUUACAAAUUUCAUAUGAAUAAAAAUAUAUUAAGUUUUCUUUUAUUUUUUAUGAAUGUGUUAGUGAAUUUAAAAAAUAAAAAAUAUAAUAAUAUUAUUUAAAUGAAUGAAUAAUCUGGGAUUAAUAGUGUGGAUAUUAUAUUUAAAAGAUAGAGUAUGUGUAAGUACAUUAUAAAUUCAAUAGCAUAAUUGUUGUUAUAAUUAUAUUUUAUUAUUGUAAAAUAUGAUUAGGUUUCAAGAUAUCUAAUUACAAAUUAAAAUACGAAAAUAGUAAUUUAAAUAAUAACACAUAAUUUAAAAUUUAGUUUUUUAUAUUUCAUAUUUUGAAACCUUGACAAUAUAAUCAAAAUGUCUUUUUUUUUAUAUAUAUAUGUCGUUAAACAAUCAUUUAAAACUCAACUUUCAUACAAUUAGCUCUUGAUAAUAUUUAUAGUUGAAAAAAUUCAUUCAAUUAGUGUAGUUAUUAUGAAAAAAAAACUAAAGCUAAUUUCAAAAGAAGAAACACAAAUGGAUAGAUAAUAUUCUUUCGAGCCAAUUUCUAAGAAAGAACACCAAUCUUAUUUAAAUUUAAAAAUUGAUUAUUAUAAUGGACAUCUAAUAUGAAGUUCUCAAAUUGAUUAUCAAGUGUCGAAAGUUGAAUAAAAAAUUAUUGUGGGGUCAAAUUUAAUAAUUUAAUGGGGACAAAUAAAUAUUAUUAUUAUUAUAUAUUACUCAAUAAAAUUUCAAAUUGUAGCGGGGGCGCUUGCCCCACACGUAUAGGAGGGGAUCCGUCCCUGCAUGCAUGGUCUCCAAAUUCAACGACCGCAUGAAAGUAGGCUCCACAAACGUAUGCUGGUUUAUUAGUGCAUUUACCACCUCUGCCACUAUAGUGCCGUCAGCCUGAUCUUCGUCUCCACCCGGAUCAACGACCUCAUAGUUACUUUCAAACUCCUCCUCACUAUCACUAUUAUAAUCUUCCAACUCAAUAUUUUGGUCUGCUUCAGAUUGUUCGAACUCAAUAUACAGUUCGAUGAACGAUAUCUAUGAGGGAGUUUUCAUAUACACUGAAAACAUAUCUUGUAUGCUUGCUUCAUCGGUUACAUAUUUGGUUUGAAACUGAAUGAACCCACCAAAUACGGAUAUAGGAUACCUAUACAAAAUGCACGACACUCUCCUAGAUAUUUGAGAAUUCAUUUUUCUCACAAACUAUACCUUUUAAUUCUUCAAACGAUAAUGUGAGUGGAAUAACAAUUUUAGUCAUAUACAAAUUCAAAAUUAUAGCAUGAAUGAAAUUGGGCCGUCCGAUUACCAUAUUCAUUUUUUUUUGCAAACACAAAUCGGACUAUCCAAUUUGUGUUCCCCUUCUGCCGUAAAAAAAUUGAACAGUCCGAUUUCUUUCCACUAACUUCGAAAAUCUAUUAACCCCUCGUACCUCCAUAACUCAGCGUUACACACACUUCAUUGUCAUAUUAAAAAUAAGGAAAAGUCCAGGAACUAACUCUCUAACUAGCCAAUUUGAACAACUCAAUUAAUUAUAUUAAUUUUAAUUUAUCAAUUAAUUUGAAUCAUUCUCAUUAAUGAUUAUUUUAAAAAAAUAGAAUUUGCAAUUAACCGCCUAAUUGGAACAUGAUUCACGGCCCUGUUAGGACUCCUCCUCUUUCUACACAUUAAGCUUAAUUCAUUUCGCCGACGUUCUCAAGAGACGUAAACAAGUAAAUAACACUGCACAAGAAAAAUAAUUGACCGACAAUCCCAAAAAAAAAUUAAGUAUAUGUAAUUUAAAGAGCAUGAAUAAUAGAAACCUUAUUUUGUUCUUUUUCAAUUUUUUGGUCUAAAUUAAGUGUGGAAUUUAAAUAUUAUGUUUGAAAUCUAACAUAGAAAGACCCUCUUUAUUUAAUAGAUUUAUUGGAUUAAGAAAAUAAUACGAUUUUUCGUUACUGAUACUACAUAUCAUUAUCACUUAAAAAAUGAUUUCUAAUGCAAGUUUUAAUUUUAAAAGAGUUUAGUUACUGUACAGGUAAAAAGUAAAACCUAAAAAAUAUUUUUCAUUAAAAUUAUAAAACUAAAAAAUUAUGUAUGAAAUUUAGGCACAUUCAAAAAAUCUUAUUUAGAUUUUUAUCAUUUAUAAAUUAGAAAAUAGAAAUAAAAACAAGUAGGACUCAUUAUAAAAUUUUGGCACAUAACAAAGAAUCUUAUUUUAUUCUUUUUCAAUUAUUUAUCUAAAUUAAAUGUUUUUCAGAAAUGGUACCUAAAAUCUAUGUGCAUAUUAGGAAUCUUAUUUUUUUAUUUACAAUUUGAAGAAUUUUUUUAUUAGUUUUGGAUGAUUUUUUUUCUUAUGUUUUGUAUGUUUUUUUCUUUAAGAUUUAGAUUAUUCUUUUUCAUUAAUUUUGGAUGAUUCUUUUUUUUGUGUUUUGUAUAUUUUUUUCUUAGAAUUUAGAUGAUUCUUUAUCUUAUAUUUUAUUAUUUUUAUCUUUUUUAGAAUUUGAACUUUUUUUUUAGAAAGAGAAAUUAGGAUUUGCUUGAUAAAUAGUAAAAAGUAAAUUAGAGUAAGAGGAGGUAAUUAAUAAUUAUUAUUUUUGUAUCUUUUAAAAAUUAAAAUUUAAAUAAUCAUCAAUUAAUGAUAAUUAAUGAGUAUAGAAUGCAAUUCAAAAAUGUUUGUUAGCUAUACCCGUGUUGGUUCCCAAGCAAAAUUGUAAAAAUAAUGAGCCAUAUUAUAGGAAUCUGGGAAACUAACAAAAAAAUUGAAAAGUGAGACAUGCAUGUUUUGGAACAAGUAAAUAACACUGCACAAGAAAAAUAAUUGACCGACAAUUUCAAAAAAGAAAUUAAGUGUGUGUAAUUUAAAGAGCAUGAAUAAUAGAAAUCUUAUUUUGUUCUUUUUCAAUUUUUUGGUCUAAAUUAAGUGUGGAAUUUAAGAAUUAUGUUUGAAAUCUAGCAUCGAAAGUCCCUCUUUAUUUAAUAGGUUUAUUGGAUUAAGAAAAUGAUAUAUUUUCUCGUUACUGAUACCACGUGUCAUUAUCACUUCAAAAAUUAUUUCUAAUGCAAGUUUUAAUUUUAAAAGAGUUUAGUUACUGUACAGGUCAAAAGUAAAACCUAAAAAAUAUUUCAUUAAAAUUACAGAACUCAAGAAUUAUGUACGAAAUUUAGGCACAUUCAAAAAAUUUUAUUUAGAUUUUUAUCAUUUAUAAAUUAGAAAAUAGAAAUAGAAAAAAAAGUGGGACUCAUUAUAAAAUUUAGGCACAUAAUAAGGAAUCUUAUUUUAUUCUUUUUUAAUUAUUUGUCUAUAUUAAAUAUUUUUCAGAAAUUGUACCUAAAAUCUAUGCGCAUAUUAGGAACUUUAUUUUUUAAUUUACGAUUUGGAGAAUUUUUUUUAUUAGUUUUGGAUGAUUUUUUUCUUAUGUUUUGUAUGUUUUUUCUUUAGGAUUUGGAUGAUUCUUUUUUUAUUAGUUUUGGAUGACUCUUUUUUUUUGUAUAUUUUUUCUUAGGAUUUGGAUGAUUCUUUAUCUUAUAUUUUAUUAUUUUUAUUUUUUUUAAAAUUUAGACGUUUUUUUUAGAAAGAGAAAUUAGGAUUUGCUUGAUAAAUAGUAAAAAGUAAAUUAGAGUAAGAAGAGGUAAUUAAUAAUCAUUAAUUUUGUAUCUUUUAAAAAUUAAAAUUUAAAUAAUCAUCAAUUAAUGACAAUUAAUGAGUAUAGAAUGCAGUUUAAAAAUGUUUGUUGGCUAUACCUAUGUUGGUUCCCUAGCGAAAUUCUAAAAAUAAUGAGCCAUAUGAUAGGAAUUUGGAAAACUAACUAAAAAAUUGAAAAGUGAGACAUGCAUGCUUUGGAACAAGUAAAUAACACUGCACAAGAAAAAUAAUUGCCCGACAUGAAUAAUAAAAACCUUAUUUUGUUCUUUUUCAAUUUUUUGGUCUAAAUUAAGUAUGAAAUUUAAGAAUUAUGUUUGAAAUCUAGCAUCGAAAGUCCCUCUUUAUUUAAUAGGUUUAUUGGAUUAAGAAAAUGAUAUGUUUCCUCGUUACUGAUACCACAUGUCAUUAUCACUUCAAAAAUUAUUUCUAAUGCAAGUUUUAAUUUUAAAAGAGUUUAAUUAUCGUACAGAUCAAAAGUAAAACCUAAAAAAAUAUUUCAUUAAAAUUAUAAAAAUCAAGAAUUAUGUACGAAAUUUAAGCACAUUCAAAAAAUCUUAUUUAGAUUUUUAUCAUUUAUAAAUUAAAAAAUAAAAAUAGAAAAAAAGUGGGACUCAUUAUAAAAUUUAGGCUUAUUCUUUUUCAAUUAGUUGUCUAAAUUAAAUAUUUUUUAGAAAUUGUACCUAAAAUCUAUGCGCAUAUUAUGAACCUUAUUUUUUAUUUACGAUUUGGAGAAUUUCUUUUAUUAGUUUUGGAUGAUUUUUUGUUAUGUUUUAUAUGUUUUUCCUUUAGGAUUUGGAUUAUUCUUUUUUUUUGUGUUUUGUAUGUUUUUUUUUUAGGAUUUGGAUGAUUUUUUAUCUUAUAUUUUAUUUUUUUUAUUUUUUUUAGAAUUUAGAUAUUUUUUUUGAAAGAAAAAUUAGGAUUUGCUUGAUAAAUAGCAAAAAGUAAAUUAGAAUAAGAAGAGGUAAUUAAUAAUCAUUAAUUUUGUAUCUUUUAAAAAUUAAAAUUUAAAUAAUCAUGAAUUAAUGACAAUUAAUGAGUAUAGAAUGCAGUUCAAAAAUGUUUGUUGGCUAUAUCCGUGUUGGUUCUCUAGCGAAAUUCUAAAAAUAAUGAGCCAUAUGAUGAGAAUUUGGGAACUAACUAAAAAAUUGAAAAGUGAGACAUGCAUGCUUUGGAACAAGUAAAUAACACUGCACAAGAAAAAUAAUUGACCGACAAUCCCAAAAAAAGAAUUAAGUGUGUGUAAUUUAAAGAGCAUGAAUAAUAGAAAUCUUAUUUUGUUCUUUUUCAAUUUUUUGGUCUAAAUUAAGUGUGGAAUUUAAAUAUUAUGUUUGAAAUCUAGCAUAGAAAGACACUCUUUAUUUAAUAGGUUUAUUAGACUAAUAAAAUGAUAUGGGUUCUCGUUACUAAUAUCAUAUAUCAUUAUCACUUUAAAAAUAAUUUCUAAUGCAACUUUUAAUUUUAAAAGAGUUUAGUUACUGUAAAUGUCAAAAGUAAAAUCUAAAAAAUAUUUCAUUAAAAUUAUAGAACUCAAGAAUUAUGUAUGAAAUUUAGGCACAUUCAAAAAAUCUUAUUUAAAUUAGAAAAUAGAAAUAGAAAAAAAAGUGGGAGUCAUUAUAAAAUUUAGACACAUAACAAAGAAUCUUAUUUUAUUUUUUUUCAAUAAUUUGUCUAUAUUAAAUAUUUUUCAGAAAUUGUACCUAAAAUCUAUGCACAUAUUAGGAAUUUUAUUUUUUUAUUUAUGAUUUGGAGAAUUUUUUUAUUAGUUUUGGAUGAUUGUUAUCUUAUGUUUUGUAUGUUUUUCUUUAGGAUUUGGAUGAUUCUUUUUUAUUAGUUUUGAAUGAUUCUUUUUUUUUUUUGUAUUUUGUAUAUUUUUUUCUUAGAAUUUGGAUGAUUCUUUAUCUUAUAUUUUAUUAUUUUUAAUUUUUUUUAGAAUUGGGACGUUUUUUUUAGAAAGAAAAAUUAGGAUUUGCUCGAUAAAUAGUAAAAAGUAAAUUAGAGUAAGAAGAAGUAAUUAAUAAUCAUUAAUUUUGUAUCUUUUAAAAUUAAAAUUUAAAUAAUCAUCAAUUAAUGAUAAUUAAUGAGUAUAGAAUGCAGUUCAAAAAUGUUUGUUGGCUAUACCCGUGUUGGUUUUCUAGCAGAGUGGUAAAAAUAAUGAGCCAUAUGAUGAGAAUCUGGAAACUAACAAAAAAAUUGAAAAGUGAGACAUGCAUGCUUUGGAAUAAGUAAAUAACACAACACAAAAAAAAAUAAUUGACCAACAAUCCAAAAAAAAAAAAAAUUAAGUGUGUGUAAUUUAAAGAGCAUGAAUAAUAGAAAUCUUAUUUUUUUCUUUUUUAAUUUUUUGUUUUAAAUUAAGUGUGGAAUUUAAAUAUUAUGUUUGAAAUCUAGCAUAGAAAGAUCCUCUUUAUUUAAUAUGUUUAUUAGAUUAAGAAAAUGAUAUGAUUUUUCGUUACUGAUACCACAUGUCAUUAUCACUUCAAAAAUUAUUUCUAAUGUAAGUUUUAAUUUUAAAAGAGUUUAGUUACUCUACAGGUCAAAAGUAAAACCUAAAAAAUAUUUCAUUAAAAUUAUAGAACUCAAGAAUUAUGUAUGAAAUUUAGGCACAUUCAAAAAAUCUUAUUUAGAUUUUUAUCAUUUAUAAAUUAGAAAAUAGAAAUAGAAAAAAAAGUGGGACUCAUUAUAAAAUGUAGGCACAUAACAAGGAAUCUUAUUUUAUUCUUUUUUAAUUAUUUGUCUAAAUUAAAUAUUUUUCAGAAAUUGUACCUAAAAUCUAUGCGCAUAUUAGGAAUCUUAUUUUUUUUUUAAGAUUUGGAGAAUUUUUUAUUAGUUUUGGAUGAUUUUUUUCUUAUGUUUUGUUUGUUUUUUCCUUUAGGAUUUGGAUGAUUCUUUUUUAUUAGUUUUGGAUAAUUUUUUUUUUAUAUUUUUGUAUGUUUUUUUCUUAGGAUUUGGAUGAUUCUUUAUCUUAUAUUUUAUUAUUUUUAUUAUUUUUAGAAUUUGGACUUUUUUUUAGAAAGAGAAAUUAGGAUUUGCUCGAUAAAUAGUAAAAAGUAAAUUAGAGUAAGAAGAGGUAAUUAAUAAUCAUUAAUUUUGUAUCUUUUAAAAAUUAAAAUUUAAAUAAUCAUCAAUUAAUGGCAAUUAAUGAGUAUAGAAUGCAGUUCAAAAAUAUUUGUUGGCUAUAUCCGUGUUGGUUCCCUAGCGGAAUUGUAAAAAUAAUGAGCCAUAAGAUGGAAAUCUGGGAAACUAACUAAAAAAUUAAAAAGUGAGACAUGCAUGUUUUGAAACAAAAAAAUAACACUGCACAAAAAAAAUAAUUGACCGACAAUCUCAAGAAAGAAAUUAAGUGUGUGUAAUUUAAAGAGCAUGAAUACUAGAAACCUUAUUUUGUUCUUUUUCAAUUUUUUGGUCUAAAUUAAGUGUAAAAUUUAAAAAUUAUGUUUGAAAUCUAGCAUAGAAAGACCCUCUUUAUUUAAUAGGUUUAUUGGAUUAAGAAAAUGAUAUGGUUUUUCGUUACUGAUACCACAUGUCAUUAUCACUUUAAAAAUUAUUUCUAAUGCAAGUUUUAAUUUUAAAAGAGUUUAGUUACUGUACAUAUCAAAAGUAAAACCUAAAAAAUAUUUCAUUAAAACUAUAGAACUCAAGAAUCAUGUAUGAAAUUUAGGCACAUUUAAAAAAUCUUAUUUAAAUUUUUAUCAUUUAUAAAUUAAAAAAUAGAAAUAGAAAAAAUGUGAGACUCAUUAUAAAAUUUAGGCACAUAACAAAGAAUCUUAUUUUAUUCUUUUUCAAUUAUUUGUCUAAAUUAAAUGUUUUUCAAAAAUUGUACCUAAAAUCUAUGCGCAUAUUAGGAACCUUAUUUUGUUCUUUUUCAAUUUUUUGGUCUAAAAAAAGUGUAAAAUUUAAAAAUUAUGUCUGAAAUUUAGCGCAGAAAGACCCCUUUAUUUAAUAGGUUUAGUGGAUUAAGGAAAUGAUAUAGUUUCUCGUUAUAUCAGUAUCACUUCAAAUCCAAUGCAAGUUUUAAUUUUAAAUGAGUUUAGUUACUGUACAGAUCAAAAGUGAAACGUACAAAAUAUUUCAUUAAGAUUAUGGAACUCAAAAAUUACGUAUGAAAUUUAGGUAUAUUCAAAAAAUUUUAUUUUGAUUUUUAUCAUUUAUAAAUUAAAAAGUAGAAAUAAAAAAAAAGUGGGACUCAUUAUAAAAUUUAGACACAUAAUAAAAAAUUUUAUUUUAUUCUUUUUAAAUUAUUUGUCUAAAUUAAAUAUUUUCAAAAAAUUGUGCUUGAAAUCUAUGCGCAUAUUAGCAACCUUAUUUUGUUCUUUUUCAAAUUUUUUUUGUCAAUAUUAAAUGUGAAAUUUAGAAAUUAUGUCUAAAAUCUAGUGCAUGAAAAACUCUCUUUAUUUAAUAGGUUUAAUAAAUUUUAAAAAUGAUAUAGUUUCUCGUUACUAAUACCACAUAUCAGUAUCAUUUUAAAAAUAAUUUCUAAUAUAAGUUUUAAUUUUUUAAAUGAGUUUAGUUAAUUUACAAGUCAAAAGUGAUACCUAAAAAGCAUUUUCUUAAAAUUAUAGAGCUCAAGGAAUUAUAUAUGAAAUUUGGGCACAUUUAAUGAAUCUUAUUUUAUUUUUUAUUAUUUAUUAUUUAAAAGGUAGAAAUAGAAAAAAUAGUGAAACUUAGUAUAAAAUUUGGGUAUAUAACAAGAAACGUUAUUUUAUUCUUUUUCAAUUGUUUGUCUAAAUUAAAUGUUUUCAAAAAAUUGUGCAUGAAAUUUAUGCGUAUAUUGGAAACUUUAUUUUGUUCUUUUUUAAUUUUUUUGUCUAAAUUAAAUGUGAAAUUUAAAAAUUAUAUCUGAAAUUUAACGCAUAGAAAGACCCCUUUGUUUAAUAGGUUUAAUAGAUUAAAAAAUAAUAUCUCGUUCCUGAUACCACUUGUCACUAUUACUUAAAAAAUAAUUUUCAAUACAAGUUUUAAUUUUAAAUGAGUUUAGUUACUGUAUAAAUCGAAAGUGAUGCCUGAAAAUUUUUUCAUUAAAAAUUAUGAAAAUCAAGAAUUAUAUAUAAAAUUUAGACAUAUUUAAAGAAUUUUAUUCUAAUUUUUAUCAUUUAUUACUUAAAAAGUAAAAAUAGAAAAAAAAGUGGAACUCAAUAUAAAAUUUAGGUACAUAAUAAAGCACCUUAUUUUAUUUUUUUUUUAAUUUUUUGUCUAAAUUAAAUCUUUUCCGGAAAUUAUGAGUGAAAUGUAUGUAUGCGCAUACUAGGAACCUUUUUUUGUUCUUUUUUAAAUUUUUUUUGUCUAAAUUAAAUAUAAAAUUUAAAAAUUAUGUCUGAAAUCUAAUGCAUAGAAAUUUUUUUUAUAUUUAAUAGGUUUAAUAAAUUAAGAAAAUGAUAUGGUUUCUCGUACCACAUAUCAGCAUUAGUUCAAAUAUGAUUUUCAAUAUAAAUUUUAAUUUUAAAUGAGUUUAGUUAUUGUACUGGUUAAAAGUGAUACCUAAAAAAUAUUUCAUUAAUAUUAUAAAAAUCAAGAAUUAUAUAUGAAAUUUAGUUACAUUCCAAGAAUCUUAUUUUAAUUUUUAUCAUUUAUUACUUAAAGAUAGAAAUAGAAAAAAAGUGGGACUCAAAAUAAAAUUUAGGUACAUAACAAGGAACUUUUUUUGUCUAAAUUAAAUAUUUUAAAAAAUUAUGUCUGAAAUCUAUGGGCAUACUAAGAACCUUAUUUUGUUCUUUUUCAUUUUUUUUAUUUAAAUUAAAUGUGAAAUUUAGAAAUUAUGUCUGAAAUCUAGUGCAUAAAAAGACCCCUUUUAUUUAAUAGGUUUAAUGGAUUAAGAAAAAGUUUAAUUACUCUAUUGGUCCUUAUAGUUUCGCAAAAUUUUCAGUUAGGUUUCUAUAUUUUUUUUCCUUUUAAUUGGAUCUCUACACCAAUUUUUUAAUUACUGCUAAGAGGGACCUAAUUGAAAAAAAAAUGGUGUAGGGACCCAAAUAAAAGAAAAAAAAGUGUAAGGACCCAAGUAAAAAAAAAGUGUAAGGACUCAAUUAAAAGGAAAAAAAAAGUAUAGGAACCUAAUUAAAUUUCACGAAACUAUAGGAACCGACAGAGUAAUUAAAACUUAAGAAAAUGAUAUGGUUUCUUGCCACUGAUACCACAUAUCAGUAUCACUUCAAAAAUGAUCUCUAAUGCAAGUUUUAAUUUUAAAUUAGUUUAGUUACCGUACACGUAAAAAAUGAUACUUAAAAAAUAUUUUAUUAAAAUUAUGAAACUCAAGAAUUAUGUAUGAAAUUUAGACACAUUUAAAGAAUCUUAUUUUAAUUUUUAUUAUUUAUUACUUAAAAGAUAAAAAAAAAAGUGAGGCUCAAUUAAAAUUUAGGCACAUACAUAAGAGGAACCUUAUUUCAUUUUUUUAUUUUUUUGUCUAAAUUAAAUAUUUUUCAUAAAUUAUGCCUGAUAUUAAUACGCGUAAAGAAAACUUUAUUUUGUUUUUUUUAUAUGUUGUCUUUUUAUUAGAGAUAUCCAUGACUAUGUUUUCUCUAACUUCCAAAGAAACAAGAAUUCUCUUUCCACUAUGAUCCGUUUCUUUAAGAUUGUUCUCAGAAAAAACCUUGAUGAUGAAUAUCUAGUGAGAAUUUUCUUUCCUUCACCCUUCCUAUCAUCUUUUUUUUUCUUACCAGCAUACUAUGCUCCUCAAUAUUUAUGCUUUUUAGUUUUGAAUUUUUGAUUGUUAGUUAGUUAGAGUAGUAACUGAAUCAACAAAGCUGCUGUUAGGGAAGGAUAAUUCUUAGAAGGUUGUUAAGAGGUUGAGUGAUACAAAUAGAGUGAGUGGAAACUUAUCUGAAAAGUUUCUAUAGUGAAGCAUAAUAAUAGUGAAACUUAUCUGGCCAAUGUUGUGUUAUGAUUGAGUUUUGAUAAGUAUGGUUACCAACAACAGUUCAGUAGGAAAUAUGGUGGUGAUAUGCAAAAUCCAGUGCAACUCCAACCUCCAGAUGGCACUGAAUGGAGAAUAGAUUGGACUAAUCAUGAUGGUGAGAUUCUGUUUGAAAACGGUUGGAAAGAGUUUGCUACAUUUUACACUUUGGAGAAUGGUCAUUCUAACAUCAAAGUACACAUAUUCGACAUGAGUGCCCUCGAAAUUGAUUAUCCUUCCAAUGGCCGAAUCGGUGAUGACAACUCGAUGAACCGCCAGCGCGAAGGGGCCGAGGCCGGCCAAAGAAAACAGUGAUAGCAGAACCAAAGCAAUCAUGUUCUUCUACAAGCCGGAGAUGUUUGUAUCUUUGAGCUCAUUAACAGACAAGGUCCAGAUCUUAAGGUUCAUUUUCGUCAAAGCCAUGAUUAGCGAAUGGCUUUGCUUACUUGUGUUGCAGAUCAAUGGUGUAUGUUCAGGGAUCAAGAGUUGUAACACUGAGUCAUAGUUUUCAUCAUACUAAAUGGUUCCAUUGCAGUGUUAUCUCCUUACUACCAUAACUAGAAAUAUAUAAGUGAUCCAUGCAGAAACAACACAUGUAGAAUUAUAUAUUGUUGGUAGUAUAAGAUGUUAUUUGGACAAAGUACCUAAUCAAAAGUUGCCCGACUACUUAUUUUCAAAGCAAUUUAUGGUUUGGAUCCUAUUUCACUCAUUCUCCCUCAUUUAUUAUACUUGUCACUUUUUAGAAACUUACUAACUAUUUGCAGAGUUGCAGUAAUUACAUAAAAAAUUCCAAUGUAAAUAACUUUUAAUGAGUGUAUAAUUUUUUUUAAUUCAUUGUAUUGGACUAAUUGGUAAAUUGUUACAAGUUUAUUAUUUCAUAUUUAAACAAACAUAAAAUAAAAGUUAAUUUUGCUUACUUUAUGUAAGAUAUAGGUAUGAAUAUGUCCAUAAAUUCUGUCAAAUUUGUUGAGAAUAUGUUCCAUUACAAUACACAAUCUUGUGUAUGAAAUAAGAUCCACAGGUACUUUUCUAAUUUCUGAUUUGUAGUGAGAACAACACUGCAACAAUUAAGUGUGAAAUGUGAAGAAAAACAUGAAUCCAUGUCACAACUCUUAAUGACUAACAUAAAUAAGCAUUCAUGACUAACAUUCAAGUUUGAUUUUAACAAAGUGGAGUGACACAUUUCUUAACCAAAUUUCUUGAUACAAGAACUCCAGAUACUCUAAAGAUUGCCUAAUUAAGCAUCCUGAUACUCUAAAGAUUGUCUAAUUAAGCAUCCCUUCGAAAAAUAUGAGCAUCAAGUUCUGCACCUUCUCUGUAAACAAGCUCAAAGAUACAAAUAUCUCCAGCUUUCAGGUUAUUGACAAAAUGGCAAUUUUCUGAGUUGGAUAAUAGUUCAAUGUUACAGGCCACUGUUUCGUAACAGAAUAUUUGCAUGACAUGAAAUGUUUCUGACAGAGACAAAUGUGUCAACUUACUGGUGAAGAUCCAGAUAGUUGAGUUUGCCUUAUCUUGGUUAUGAAAGAGGGAUUCUUUGACUUGAACUUCUUUGCUUUUUGAACAACUUUACAUGUACACCAUAAAAAAUUUGCAUAGAAGUUACUUGUAGCUAAGUUCAAGCUUCAAACAACACAGUAAUUUUUAUUCAUUUGAACGAAAUUUAAACACAGACAAAGAACAAUAAGAUACUUAUUGCAUAGUUACAUGAAAUGCAAUACGUUCUGGUAUGGUAUGCAAUAUGCAUACGCUACCUAUCUGGUGAAUUUGUAACUAUGAUUUAUGCAUUUUAGCCACAAAAGCAAUACAUUAGAAACUACAAAAAUAAAAGGAUGAAAUGAUCAUGAAAUUACAUACUAUCAGGAUCAACACUGGCACUUUAAAUUGUUGGCAUCUUAAGACCUGUCUCUUCAGAUUGACUAGCUUCUUCAAUUUUGCAACACUGCAUCCAGUUUUGUUUAUCAGGGCCCUUCUCUACAUCUCCAGUUUUGACAGAACUCCGCAAUGUAUUACUUGUAGAAGGAGAUGAUACUUCUACUGCUGCUUUCAAUUUUUUCCUCGGCCGGCCUCGGCCUCUUCGUGGCAGUUCAUUCUCAACCUUAACCAUGUUGGCAUCAUCAAUGUGGUCCUUGGAAGGAUAGUCUAUUUCAGGGCACCUAGUUUUGGCAGAACUUGUGAACAUUUUACUUGUACAAGCAGAUGGUGUCUUUGGUGCAGCUUUCUCUGUUUUUCUCGGUCGGCCUCGGCCUCUUCUUGAAGGAUAGUCUGUUUCAGGGCACCGUUUCACUGCUCUAGUCUUGGCAGAACUUGUGAACAUUUUGCUUGUAGAAGGAGAUGCUGUGUUUGCUGCUGCUUUCUCUGUUUUCCUCGGCCGGCCUCGGCCUCUUCGCGGCGGUUCAUUCUCAACCUUAACCAUGUUGUCAUCACCAAUGUGGUCCUUGGAAGGAUAGUUUCUUUCAGGGCAGCAUUUCACUACUUUAGUGUUGGCAGAACUUGUGAACAUUUUACUUGUGGAAGGAGAUGGUGUCUUUCGUGCUGCUUUCUUUGUUUUCCUCGGCCAGCCUCGUGGCGGCAGUUCAUUCAAGAUCUCAAUCGAAUCAUCAUCGCUGAUGUGAUCCACGGAAGGAUAGUCUAUUUCAAGGCAAGUCUUGUCAAAAAUGUGUACUUCAAUGUUAGAAGUUUGAUUGUACUCAAACCACAGCAAAUGGCCAUGAUCCAAAGAGUAAUAUGAAGCAAAUUCUUUCCAACCAUUUUCAAAUUGAAUCGCACCAUCAGACUCAGACCAAUCCAUCUUCCAUGCAGUGCCAUCUGGAAGCUUCAGAUACACUGGAUUUGGAACACCGCGACCAUAUUUCAUACUGAACGUUAUUGGUAUCAUCUGCAAUUCAAAUGAAAGUAUGAAACUAGUCUUAGUAAUAAGCAUAAAUGAAAAAAAAAACCUUACAAGGGAAAAAUCACAAAGAGAAAUGCAUGCAUUAAAUAAUAUUAUAAGUAAAGAGGAUAUGAAGUGAAGAAAAUGCUUACAAGCUUUCCAUCUUCAAGGCUAUGUCUGAGAACAAUUUUGAAGAAACGGAUCACAGAGGAAGCCAUGGAUGUGGUGGUGGAUGGUCUCUACUCUCAUGAAAGUAUAUAAGCACGUACUUAUAUACUUUCAUAGGGGAUUAAAAUUCUAGUGGUAGUUAAAAAUGGUUUUAUCCUUAAUGUAUCAAUAAGGCUCUUAAAUCUGGAAAAGAAUAAAAAAUUAUUUUAAAAGAAUUCUUAACCUCUCCAAUUUUUAUAAAUUUUAUUUGAUAAAUAAAAAAAAGUUUCUCUCAAAAUAGAAAGCACAAAUUUUGUACAUUAGUAUUCUAACAAAAAAAAAAAAAAUCCUACAAAUAUUGGAAUUAUAAUAGACAUAAAAUUAAUUAUAAUUAUUUUAUAUUUUAUUUAUCUUCAAUCUUUUUUAUGAUAUACUAUUUUAAUGCGUUCAUAGAUUCAUAGGCAAAUUACAAUUUUGAAUCAAAUCCAUGAAAAAUUCUGCCUCACUUUUUUAUCCUUAUACCAAACACAACCUUAUCUUUUACUUUGAGAAGAUAACAAUGCAAUCAUGAAGUGGCAGCAAAACAAAAAAUAAAAUUAAAACACUUAGUUCAUACAUAUAAAACUGGUCCACAACAGAAAGGAUUGGAUACAGUACAAGUUUGAUUCAACAGAAAAAAAAAGAUAAUACAUUCUUCACGAAAUUAACCUUACUUAAAAAUUAAGAGUUCUUAGUUCCUGAAGUUAUAAAACAUUGGCCUAGCACUGGGCUCUACAGAUAUGAACAUCAAACAGAUCUUUUUUAUUGAUGAGCUCAAAAACACAAACAUCUCCAGCUUCUAAUUUACUUGCUCUGGCAAAAGAGCUCCAACCAGCCGAAAUAAAGCUGUUUUUCGAUGACGGAUUGUAGAUAAUCGUAGCAGGCCACAACUCCUUUUCGAACUGUAAUUUUACAUCCUGUUGAUUCUUUUUAAAAUACUUUCUGUAAAAGAUAGCUGAUAAGUUCUGCAUCACAUUCCAUUUUGAAUCACCAUGGUCAAAAAUAAUUAUAAACUAAAAAAUUUGUGAAACUAAGUAUAAACUAGCACCCAGAAGUUUGCAUGGCAUAUUAUGUUUUGUCAUGGAUAAAAUGUAUCGAAAUAAACUUACAGGCCUUGAUCUCCUUGGAUCACUGUCUUUUAUCUUGACCAUGAAAGAGGGAUUUUGUGAGUUGAGCUCCUUAGCUUCUUUCGGGAGCUGAAUCACACGAGUCACUGGUUUGGAAAGUGAUUCUGAUACAUAAAAGAAUUGUAAAAAAAUUAGCAUGAAUUUUACUUGUGAAGAGUUUUGGAUACAAGUAUAUCUAUAGGGUUGGAGACAACAAAAAUUUUAGCAUAAGAUUAGUUUAUAUAACAAAUUGUGGUUACAUUAAGGACCAAAUACAUAGUCACUGCAUUCAUACUGCAUUCUUAGCAAAACUAACAAUAGUUUCCUUAAGAUUGAAAUUCUGCUGCUAUAAAUGUUUCAAGGAAGGGAAGAAUUAGAAAUUUGUAAAAUGUACUCCAAAUCAAACACGGGGUCAAUUAAUUUUUAAUAUAAUUUUUUUAAUGAGGAUAAUGCUAAAUUCUAUUCCAUUUUUAAAGUUAAUUAUGUAUUCAAUGUUGUACUAAUAUCUUAAUUUUUUACAGAAUAACACCGCUUAAGAAUCCUAAACAAUUGCCUUACCGCGGCGUUGUCGACGACAAAUGUGAACAUCAAACACCGGAUCCUUUCUAUUGAUGAGCUUAAACAAACAAACAUCUCCGGCUUGUAAUUUACUAGCUCGAGCAAAAAGGUUCCAACCAGCAGAGAUAAAGGCAACACAUGAUGAUGGCCUAUAGAUCAACUUAACAGGGAACAACUUCUUUCCAAACCUUAUAUUUGCAUUUUGUGGAUUAUUUUCAAAAUACUUUCUGAAGAAUUUAGUUGAAAAGUACUGCAGCA
rnacentral:lncRNA from 1 species